rnacentral:lncRNA from 1 species
CCAAAUUUCAUCGACAUAUCUAAGGAUGACGGUGGAUUCGCAGACCGGUUUUCCGUCAUGAACGAGCACCGGGACUUUCUUAUGAAUUGGAUUAUAUUGAAGAAGCAAAGGACUCUUGUUGGAGAGAUCUUCUUCGAUGUAUUCGUAAGGUAUGCCUUUGAGUUUCAGAGCCCAAAUUACUCUGAAAACGUACGGACUAAGCCAAGCUCCGAACAGUUUCACGACCGCCAUGGUUGGGAGAUUAGUCGAUUUUCUGGUAGAUCCUGAGAGCGGUGAGUGUAAAUUUAUAAUAGGAUUAGUAGUCAAAGCUUUGAUUAAGGUAAAGAUGAAGUGUUAAUAAAAGGAAUUAAACAAAGGUGGAUAGAAAUACUUUUAUAUAAUAAUAUAAGGUAAUGUCAUGCAUGAUGCAACUUUAUUACUUGGUUUUUGUAAUUUGAAUUAAUAUUUUUAGAAUAUGUGUUUAAAUUUGUCGAUUUGAUAAAUGUGAUUGUUCAAUAAAAAUAAAAUAAAUUCAUUAAAAAUAUUUAAAAAUUCAAUUCAAUUCUCAAUUCAAUUAAUUUUUUAAUCGGUUUAAACUGUUCAAUACUCUUUUUCGAACAAAUAAAUUCGACCAACCGGAAAAUAUGUUUUUUCUUAUAUAGUUAAUGUCUCCUAUAUAUUUGUUUGGUAAACUAUAAAAAUAGUUAUUUUUGUUUGUUUUAGAUUACAUUUUAGUCAGUUAUGUUUAAAAUGUUACGUUGUAAUCACUUACAUUAUAGUUUUGAUACGAAACGGUCACUCUGUCGUUAACCUUCGUUACCUCCCUAAUGGCAAUCCUACGUGGCAGUCCAAAUGGGUUUUAAAUGUCGACUUGGAUGUCCAACUGGGACAAUGAUAGGUUUUUAAUUAAUUACACCUUGAACUGGAAAAGAAAAACCGGCCAUCUCCUUUUUCUUUUAGUUUUCUUUUCCAUUUUGACUGAAAAAACUAUUAUUAUCCCAGUUAGAUAUCCAAAUUAGAAUUUAGAACCCAUCUGGAUUGCCAUAUAGGAUUGUCAUUAGGGAGGUAAUGGAGCUUAAUGGCAAAGUGAUUACUUCGUAACAAAACAAUAAGUGACUAAAACGUAACAUUUCAAACAUAAUCAACUAAAAUAUAAUCUGGGACAAAUAAAAAUAACUAUUUUUAUAGUUUAUCCAUAUUUGUUUUGCAGUUUAUAAAGAUGAUUUGUGAUUGUUCUUUUCAAUAAUGCCGUUUUGAAAAUUUUGACUCGAUUUUUUUAUUAAAAGUAUAAUAUAACUUACCAUUACACUUAAUGAUUAGACAAGAAAAAUUUUUAAGUACAAAAACGAUAUAUAUAUAUAUAUAUAUAUAUAAACAUUGCUGUAUAUCAUGAUUAGUGAAUAUAAUAUAUUAAAUCUUUUAGGUAUUUAAAAUUAUCUAAUUUAAAUACAGCCUAAACUCUAUCUGGUAUGUUCGAUGUUUUACGUAAGCAAACAUGUCAUUAUGUUUGAUUCCAAGAACUUGCUAGAAAUUUUUGAGCCAUUGUGAAUAUAUUUAUACACUAAUAGUAAUUAUAUCGAAUGCGUAUGAAAAUUAUAAAUUUAAAAUAUAUAUGUGGGAGCUUUUAGGUAGCCUGCUUCUUUAUCACAAUCGAGAACUUGAUAAAAUGAUGAUAUUCACUGAUAAUUUAGACACGGGCAAUUGAUAAUAUCAAAUUCUUCAAAUUUUAAAGCAUAUUGAAUAACGGAGGUUAAGACGUGUUCAUGAGAAAGAGAAUAAAGAUGCAUAUUUCCUAGCUAAAAUAGCUUUAGACAAGAAUGAAGGUGUUCAGGUUUUCGAUGAAGCUCCUGGGGAGCUCAUAGCUUAAAAUAUUUGAUUUAGCAAUUUGAUUUUGUUUUCAUAACUAAUUAUUGAAUUGAGAGUAUUUAGUCAUUCCCGUGACUUUUUCUUAGCUAAGAGAAUGAAUAGUUGUCGUUUAUUUUGAAGUGAUCAUAUUUUUACAAUAGUUAUUAUUUAUUUUUCUAAUUUCAAGUUUAAAUUUGUACUAACUAUUCUUUUGUGUGUGUGUGUGUGUGUGUGUGAGAGAGAGAGAGAUAAAAAAAUUACAUCAAAUUUCCUUGAAGAAAAGCUUGGCUACUUUUAUACGUUGCAACAUCGCUAAGACUGCAUCAGGAGGGUUCUCGUAAAUAUGUAAACUUAUCUUCCAUUCUAGACUCAUCUUUGCUAAGCAACCGGCCACUAAAUUAGCUUCUCUAGGAACAUAUCGAAUCCACCACUGCCCUUCAGAUUCUAAAAUUCGUUUAACUCUCCUGAGCAUAGUAACUCUUGAGUUGUCCCCCCACUCUCUUGUAGGGCUUUGACCACCAUCAGAUUAUCAGUUUCAACUAUUCUUUAUUUUAUGUCUAACUAUUAUAAAACAUAUAUAAUAAAUAAGUAUUUUCCUUGUGUUCUUACACUAAUAAUCAAACGAAACAUUAGUAUUAUUUUAUCCCACAUCACUUAGAUAAGGGUUUUGAACUUUGUUUAACUAUUAAUGAACACUUCCAUAGGAGACAAUACAGUCAAUGUUCCAAACCCUAAUUUGAUUUUGAUGUCAACAACAUCUCUCUACGACGCUUCAACAAAGCUAACAUCUUAUCAAUAUCAGGCAAGUUGUCUUUGAUUACAGGGACUUAUUUGAAAAUUUGGAUCCCUGAGCUCACUCGAGGGAACUUGUGUGGCUCGAAGAUUUUAAGCCCUGCAAAGUCUUCGAUAAACCCGAGCCAGUGAGCAACCAUGCAAAAUGCAAUGUCCACCAUGUUUAUCUCGUCUCCGCUGAAGAAUUUUUUUCCCUCCGAUCAAUACAUGUUCUUCCAUGGCUUCCAACAUUUCUAACCACUCCUUCACUACCGCCUCCUGUUUUUCACUUUCGGUCUAAUAAAGCUUUGAGAGUAAAUGACUCUAUUUUAAGCAGAGAUUCUAGUAUCAGUCAUAAAAUGUAACACCCCCUAACCCCGAACUGUCGCCGGAACAAGGCUGCGAGGCAUUACCAAAUAUAUCAGACAACUUACGAAUAAUUCAUAAAUAAAAUAACAUUCAUAAUAUAAUUGAAUAACUAAGUCCCUGUAAUGAACUUUCGAAGUCUAAAACAUGUAUUAAAAGUGAAAUGGGACUCGUUCAAGUACUUCAAAUUUUUUUUUAUAAAUUUCGACAGCAUUUCUACUUAUUUUCUCAUAAAAUCCCCUACAAUUAAAAUCGUAUCAUUUCCAACAUAACCAAUUCAACCAAUUCAUUUCACAUUCUCAUUUUCUAUUCUAAAUACCUUCUAAUCAAACUCAAUCAAUAUAAUAUCAAUUUAAAUUUAUCAAUGUACUAAUUAAAUUGAAAUGGAUAAACUUCUUUCAUUAUAAUUCUUAGAUUUAUAAUACUAACAUUUUUAACCAUUCAUAUUCAAAACAUAAUAACCUUUAUACACAUCCUAUGUACAUGCCACAUUACCAAAAGAAAAUAUACAUCACCAAAAUUUUGCUGAAGUCGGGUCUGGCUUUGGAUGCUGGUUCAAUACUUGACUUCUACAACCUGUGCACGGAAACAACCGUACGCUGAGUAUGCAUAUACUCAGUGGUAUCACUAUAAUUCAAUUUAUAAUUAAAUACAUUAAAUCACACACAUACUUAUUCAUUACAAUUAUCAUUAAUUAAUGAACAAUUCAAUCUUUUUAUAUUAUCAAUUGUUUAAAUAUAUAUGUACCAUUCUUAUUUCUUUAUUUCAAUUCUUGCCUUUCACAUAUACUAUAUCAUUCAAGUUUAGUUUUAUCAGUAAAUUUAUUUCAUUUGUCCCUAUUAACUUGACUCGGACUCAGCGGAUACACGGAUUCCAGCCAACACACCAAUACGGCACAUAGUGCCUAAAACGGUACAUAGUACCUGAUCAGUAAUCAGUAAUCAGUAACGAUAGCAGUAACAGUAACAGUAACAGUGUUCAACACACAAAGUGCUGAAUCUGUAACAGUAACGGUAACAGUAUUCGACACACAAAGUAUCGAAUCAGUAACAGUAACAGUAGUCGGCACAUAAGUGCCUGAUCAGUAAGUCGGCAAAAACCCAUACUCUUCCAUAUCCUAUGGCAUGCCACCUAUAUCUGACUAGCCCGACUAGUUAAUAGGGUAUUUAAUUCACUUUUCAGUACAAUUUCCAUCUUAGUUUAGUAUCAAUUAAAAUUUCUUAUUUUGAUCAGUAUCACAGUCAGGGAUUUAAAUUGCGGUCGCGGUCGCGUUUUCAGUCGCAUUGCGUUCAUCGCGGUUGCGGACAUAACGGAUGCUAUUGCGGUCAUUGCGGCUAUCGCGGUCGUGAAUUUUAAAAAAAAAUUCACACAACUUAUUGUAAAAUAUAAUAGCGGUUUCAGUAGUAGCGGUUUCGGACGAUGCCGCUACCGCUAUAUAACGGCCGCUAUUUCUGUAACGGACCGCUAUUUAAAUCCCUGAUCACAGUAUUGCAGUAAUUCAUUACUUCGGUAAUUUCACAGUUCAAUGCAGUACACUUAACAAUAUUCAGUAACUUCACAAUUCAAUUCAGUAUUCAAAACAAAAUUCAGUAUUCCAUAAUUCAGUUUCGUAUCAGUCUCAAUUUCAAAUCCAAUCAUAAAUUUUCAUUUUACUAAACACUUACCUUAAAAUACUUACCACACAUAAUUAGUAAAUUAAACACAUAAUAAUGAUAAAGUUUGAAUUAUAGUGAUAGAAACCAGAAUUCUCUUCGGAUUUAAUCCUCGACGAUCUUUUCUUUUCCUUUUUGGGCCGAUGCUUCAGGCUCGAUAUUAGCUAUGAACAAUUAAAAUAAUUUUACAAUCAUUAACACAACACAAUUUAUUUGCUAAAAUUUUUAUCUAACUUUUACUUUAAUUUCAAUUUAAUCCUAACUAAACCUAUAUAUUUUUCUUUCUCAAUUCAUACCUUUUUGCUACUCAAUUUCUUGCCAAACUCACAUUUAACUAUCUAAUUUUUAUCAUAUUUUCAUAAUUUCAAAUUUAUUUCAAUUUAAUCCCGAAAACUCAAAACUUAUGGCUUAGUUUACAAUUCAAUCCUUUAUUCAAUUCCAAUCAAAAUUUCUAUCAAAUAAAUCCCCGAUUCCAUCAUUUAUUCAACAUGAACCCUAUUAAAAAAUCUAUUAACUUUCAAAAUUUCAACUUAAAUCCAAGAGUAUUUCACUCUAGGAUUCCAAAAACAUCAAAUUUGUAAGAAAAAUGACUUGAUUAAACUUACCCAUUAAACUUCAAGCUUCAAAUCCCUAGAUAUUUCCCUUUUAUUUUUCUUUCCUAUUGUUUCUUCUCCUGUUCGAAUGGCUUUUGCUGUUCUUUUGUUUCUUUUUCUUCUUUUUUUCUUUUAUUUCUUUAGUUUCUUUUAUUUACUUUAUUUUAUUUACUUAAUAAUUAAUAUAAUAUCUUAUGCUUAAAUGUUAAGUAAACCAAUUAUUUAAUUACAUUUGUACAUAUUAUAUUAUUACACUUGUAUAAAUUUUGUACCAUAUAUUUGUCAAUUAUCUUAUUUAUUUAAUAAAAAUCUAUUUAACAACAAAUAAUAAUAUUACAAAUGUACGUAUAUAUUUUAUUCAUAAAUGUACAGUAUCAUCUAUACCAUACAUUUGUCAUCAUUUAUUUUAUUUAUCACAGAAAAAUCUUAUAAUUUAAUUAAUACAAUUAAUAAUUAAUUAUAAAAUAUCUUCAUACUUAAAUUUUAAGUAAUUUAGGUGUUUAGUUUACAAAUGUACAAAUAUAAUUUUUACACAUGUAUAUUUUAUUACCAUACAAUUGUCUACUAUUUACUUUACUUAAUAAUAAUAAUAAUAAUAAUAAUAAUAAUAAUAAUAAUAAUAAUAAUAAUAUAAAACCAUAAUAAUGGUUAAUAAUUAUAAUAAUUAUAUAUAUAAUAUUUAUGUAGAACUUAAAUAAAAUCUUAGAUUUUAAUGCAUAUAUGCCGCUUCAUUUCAUAUAAAUGACUUAAUUUUCAUUUUAGCCUUUUUUACUUUCUUUUAAUCUAUAAUUAAGAUUUCAUUCUUUAUUCAAUUUAAUCCUUUUUCCUAAUUACUUUAAAUUAGGCUAAAUUCACUAAAUAAAAAUUUAAAUAAACACACUAUUAGACUCAUAAUUACUCCUAAUAAUUAUUUACUAACUCAGUUUACUAAGACGGAGGCCCGAUAACACACUUUUUCGAUGCCCACGGAUUUUGGGUCGUUACAUAAAAAUUUAUUUACCAUAAAAAAAAUCCAAGCUACAAAGUGCUAAAAUCUCAAUUUCAACUAGGUUAAAAUAUGCUACAAGUCUUUGUAUUCUUUGUAUGUUCAAUUUAGUCCUCCUAUUUUUUUGUUUCAAGAAAUUUAAUCCCCUACUGUUAAAGUUUAAAAGGGUUAAAUCACUUUACGAGGCUAAAACUUAGCAACUACUCCCACAUUGGGGCCUGAACCAUUUUUUUGUUCAAAUUAGUUCUUGAACUUGGCGACUGUUCUCACGGUAUGGCCUAAACUAUUUUUUGUUUAAGUUAAUCCUUGAAGUUGACAAUUAUUCCGACAUUGAAGCUUGGAUUUUAUAUUUUUUAUUACGGUGCUAAAGCUUUGCUUCAUUUUUUAAAACUAAGGGUGUUCAUGGGUUGGGCGACCCAACCCGAAGGCCUGCCUGAAAAGUGAGAGAGUUUAGGCAGAAAUAUAAGCCCAAAAUAGGUUUGGACAAAAAUUAAGGCUUGUUUAGGCAAAAAAAUGUGUCGAAACUGGAGUAAGGUUUUUUUGACCUGGACCCAGCUCGAAUUUGCAAAAAAAAAAAAAACUUUUUCUUGUUGUUUUCCACUAUUUUGUUGUCAUUUCACUAUUAUGUUGUUAUUAUUUGGAUAUUGUAUAACUCUUAUUUUAUUGUCAAUUUUGUUACUAUUUUAGAGACAUUUGCUUGUUAAGUUGCACCUAUCUUAGUUUUAUUUAAGUAUAAAGGUUUUUAUUUUAAUUUAUUUUCAAUUUGUUAGGAAAUAUUUGUUUUAAUGUUUUAAGUGUAUUUGGUGUAUUAUAUUUUUAAAAUUUUUUAUAUAAAAAAUAAAAUACGGGUGGGCCAAACCAAACCUAUCAAUUGGGCCUAAAAAUUUGUUAAUGCCUGACCUGAUCCGACCCGUAGACACCUCUAUUUUAAACCAUCUUCUUUGCUGACUUAGGCAAGUAAAUGGAUUUAUUUAAGCGAGGAGAUAGAAAGAAAAAAAUAAUCCGACAAAUAAAAUAAAAAAAUAUUGGUUGCAAAGAGAAACAUAAUAUAAAGAAUAUAAAUAUGAAAUUCUUUAUAACUUGUUAAAGAAAUUCCGGAUCAACGUAAUGAUAAAAGAAUGAUAAUAACAGAUUCAACCCCUAUACUUUAUCAAUAUAUCUAAUAUGGUAUCUUUACUUUUAAAAUAUAUUGCCAUAUAUCCUUCUAAUGGAGUUAAAAUCUUACAUCGCUUUGAAUGCAACCAAUUGUAUGCUGCCAUGUGGCACUAUUAGUUUGAAAAAUUUUAAUCAGAGUCAAGGGAUUUGAAAAUAGUUAUUCCAAAAAUUGUUUUAAAAGGCAAAAAGAAGAAAGAAAACACUAAGACCAACCUGAGCCCAGCAAAAUUUAGCUUUCGGAGAGAUGGCUGAGUGGUUCAUAGCUCCGGUUAUGAAAACCGGUACAGUUCGAAACAAAUAAUUAUCGAAGGUUUGAAUCCCUCUCUCUUCUUUGCUCGAUGAAUAGGUUUGUAAUUAAUUGGAUUUAGUCACAACUGUACUGAGAUCGAUUCAACUAAAAAUUGAUGAUUUGAUUGGUUUAAUUGCCAAUUCGAUUGUUAUAAUAUUAAUCCAAAAUAGUCAAUAAAAUAUUUUUAUUCUAGGAUAAAUAUACAUUUUGAUAUUUGAACUUGAUUUCAAGGUUCAAAUUGGUACUUAAAGUUUAGGGUUUAAAUAAGAGGAUAAUACACUUCAACACACUCAAACCCACGCGAUUUUAGACUCUUAAAAAUUAACAAUUCAUUUUAAUUAAUUUAGUUCUUUAACCUAAAACUUUGAAGUUUGGCUCUCAAUAAUUUAUAUUUUAUGCUAAUCGUUUUAAUUAAAAUAUUGUAAUUUCAAUUUUUUUUCGAAGUGAGCAAUCAAUCAAUUCAAUCCAAUCCAAAGAUUUAACAAACUCUUUUACGAAUCAAAAUAAAACCAAAUUCUCUAUAAAACCAACAAAAUCAAAUUAGUUAUGAAUAAUUUACUGGAUUGGAUUACUAAAUAAUAUUGGCAAAAAAUACUAAAUAAUUUUUUUUUGUAAAUAUAAUUUUAAUAUUAAUUUUUUCUUUCACUCGUGGAUAUGACAAAAUUCGCUAUUUGAAAUUGAAAGUCGAUUAAUUUGAUUUUGGAUUUCCAAAUGAAAACAAAUUUAUCAGACCUACAACAUACUUGACAAAACUAAAAUUUACCCGUUGAAUUGCUUUAGUCAGUUUGACCCGACUAUUGCACACCCUUAGUUUUGCUCCCGGAAUGUAUGUAUACUUGUUAACAUCGGGACUGGUAUCAUUGGAAUGAAACGUGGAGAGCAAGCAAUGAAAUUUUCCGAAGAAAAGUGUCCUCUCCUACUUCCUUCUUCCUCGUACUUUCUUCUGAUGUUUCUUUCUUCUUUCUUUCUUUAUUUGCUUAAUUAUAUCUAUAUCUAUGCUUAGAAUUUUGAAAAUUGGGCAAAGCAUCAAUAUAUUCCUUUCUUUAUGAAGACCAAAACCAACACCCAAGAAAAGAAUCUACUAACCAUGAGGCCUGGAAUAAUUUCAUUUUUGUUUUUCUUCUUCUAAAUAAUUUCACAAUAUCUGAGAGUUGGAAAGAAAGAGAUGGAAAUUCAACAUUUCGGCCAUCACCAUCCUUUGGUCUUCAUCCAAGCUCACAGUGUUGCAAGCAAAGCAGCUCUUUGCCUUGUGUGUGAGAAACCUGUAAUGGGCUGGAGCUAUGGCUGCAAUCAAUGUGAGUUUUAUCUUCACAAGGGAUAUGCUGAGUUAGAGUUAGCCCCCAAGAUUCAGCAUCCCUUCCACCCCAAACACCCUCUCACUCUUCUUCCAAAAUCACCUUAUUCUGGGUUAGGAAUUUGUAAUUUUUGUCGUAAGAAAUUUGGGGGAUUUGUUUAUAAUUGUAAUGAUUGUAGUUUCGAUCUGCACAUCAAUUGUGCUUUGUUCAAUCAUCAUUUGCUGCAAAUUUUCCUAAUUCUUUGCACCCCCAUCCUUUGUUAUUCAUUCAAAAUCAUAACAACGAAGUCAUAACAACGAAGUCAAGUCUCAUUGCUCCGGAUGUCAGAAACCAAUAUCUGGUCCAAUUUACCACUGUUCAGAUUGCACAUAUCCUAUUUUUAACCUUCAUAAGGAAUGUGCUGAACUACCCCUUGAGAUUAAUCACCCCUACGAUCGUAGGCAUCCUCUUACUCUCUUGCCACAACCGCCUACUCAUCCCCAGAAAUGUAGUUGCUAUUUGUGCAUAAUCCAAUGGAAGGGGUUUGUUUAUUCCUGCUCUCUUUGCAACUUUGAUCUUUCACUAGAUGAUUUUCUUUUUUCACCACCAACAAUCACAGUUGCAAGUCAUGAACACCUGUGUAUGCUUGUAUCUAGAAAAAUGCCGUUUGUUUGUGAUUUUUGUGGCACUGACGGAGAUCACUCCCCCUAUUUCUGUUCUACAUGUCACCUCCUUGUCCAUAAGAAUUGCAUUUCAUUGCCACGCCACAUCAUGAUUGUUAAUGGGUAAUGUAGAAAUUAUUUACUGAUUGAAUAAUUUAGACGUUGAGUCAGUCAAAGUCUGUUGUAAGUCUGUUUUUAAUUCCAGUAGUGUUCCUUUUAUUUAGGAGAUGUAUCAAGAUUCUAUUAGAGUCCUAAUAUAUCUCUAAGUUGUUAGCUAUUUCAGUAUUUAAACUCUUCAUGGAAUAAAGUGUUUUGUAUCACUGUUAUCAAUUUCUCUAAAUUCCCAUUACUUCCGUUGCAGUUCUUUGUUCUGUUUUUUUUAGCAGCAGCCUUUUUUUUCAACAAUGAUAACACGACAUCGUCACACGAUUUCUCUUUCCUAUUCUCUUCGACAAAAUCAAGUUGAGGAUUGGAUGUGCAAAAUUUGUUACGAGGAAGUUGAUAUAAGGUAUGGAAAUUACCGUUGUCCUGCUUCUCGUUGCUGUUAUAUUGCUCAUGUACGUUGUGCAACUGAUAAAGUAAUUUGGGAUGGAAGAAUUAUGCCGGAAGGCUAUGAUGAGAGGUCCGAGGAAGUGGUGGAUUAACCUUGGAAUUUGAUUACUGAUGUUGUUGAACAAAUUCGUAUUGGAGAGCUAAUGGUAGAAAGUGAGAUCAAGCAUUCCUAUCAUUAUCAUAAUUUAAGACUCACUUUUAGUGGGAAGACCAAAGAUGAUGAUAGUUAGUGCGAUGGGUGCACGAGACCUAUAUCAACUCCUUUUUAUAGUUGUGAGCAAUGCAAGUUCUUUCUCCACAAAGAUUGCGCUGAAUUGCCUAAAAAAAUGCCACACCCAUUUCACAAGCAUUUGCUUACUCUCCCAAACUCACACAAUGAGUAUGAUUAUUCAUGGUGCGAUGCUUGCGGACGUGUGUAUCAAGGAUUUAGCUACAGAUGCUUCGAUUGCAGGUUCAAAAUUGACAUUCAAUGUAUGUUAUUGUCGGACACCUUGAAGCACCCAAGUCAUGAGCAUUCACUCUUUCUUGUCCACAACAAUGAGGGAACGAGUUGCAGUGCUUGUUUCAGAAAACUACAAUCAAGGGAUGUUGCAUAUAGAUGCAUGAAGCGCUGUGAUUUCAGUUUAGAUGUAGGUUGUGCAACACUACCACUUACUGCUUGGUACAAGUAUGACAGGCAUCCUCUUCCUUUGACUUUUUCUGAUGAUUCUGAGCCUUCUCAACUUUACUGCGAUCUCUGCGAGAAAGAAAGAGAGCCAAAUCGUUGGUUUUACUAUUGUGCUGAUUGUGAUAACUCUCUUCAUCUCAAUUGUGCUAUUGGGGAUAUCCCAUAUAUGAAGCUUGGGAACAAAAUCAAAAGUACAGAUCAUCGACAUCCAAUCACUGUUGUGAAAAACAUCUGGAAUUGCCCUCCAUGUAUGGUAUGUGGUGAGGUUUGCAAUGGGUAGACCCUAGAAUGUGAAGAAUCUGGAUGCAAUUUCACUGUCCAUUGGGGUUGCCGUUGGGGUCUCUGGGAAUCAUUUGAAUGAUAUUCCACUCAAGUUUAAGAAACAGAGAAGCCGCAACAUCACAGGUGUGUUGCGUAGGGUGGAAGGGUGUAGGAGAUUUGGUAAAAAUGGGUGAUGGCCUUAUUGUAAUCUGCAUUAUGUGAUGUUAAUGGUUGUUUGAGCAGUAGAAGGUUGUGUUAGAUGAAACAUGAUUUGUAACCACACAUCUUAAUCUUUCACUUUUCUAUUUGCUUCUUAUCUAAAAUUAGUGAUGAGAAGGAAGAAAUGGUUUUUAGCUGGUCAUAAUAAAAUAUUUUUAAAAUAUUAAUAUAUUAAACCAAAAAAAACUCUAAAUAGAACUUCGAUCUCUUGAAUCUACCUUAAAACAAAAGGGAAUGACCGAGGUAAUGAAAGAAAUAAUAACAAGAAAAGCUCAAAGUAUUGAAGAACGUUUUUUAUUACAGAAAAACACAAAUUUACAUUAGAUAAAAUGACAUAUAAAUAGCUUAACUACAUGUAACGUUAAAGCUAAAAAACCUGCAACUAAUAGCCCACUAAAACCUCAACUAACAAAACAUAACCUGAUCAUAUCCCUAUAAAAUAGGAACCAACUUAUUUGAUAAAGAAAACAAGUAAAUUAAAAAAUCCAGUAAGAUGCACUAAUUUUUAACACUCCCCCUUAGUGCAUGCUUACGAUCAAGAACUCCAAGAGCAUCUCUAAAUUGCUGAAACUUAGGCUACACCAAAGCCUUAGUGAAAAUAUCAGCCACUUGAUCGUUGGUGCGAAUGUUUACAAGCUCAAUCUCUUCACUUUGAACCUUUCCUCGAACAAAAUGAUGUCGAACCUCGAUGUGCUUCGUUCGAGCAUGAAAAACCGAGUUCGAUGCAAGCUUAAUGGCACUUUCAUUAUCACACUUGAUUUUUACAGCAUAAUCAACUUUGCAUAUGUCUCCAAUCAACCUCUUCAACCAAAUGCACUCUUGUGUAGCCAUAGUUGCUGCUACAUACUCGGCUUCAGUACUCGACAAAGCAACAACACCUUGCUUUUUGCUACACCAAGAAACCGUUGCUGAACCGAUACUGAAACAAUAUCCCGAAGUCGAGUGACGAUCGUUUGUAUCUCCAGCCCAAUCGGCAUCAGUAAAUCCACUCAACAUAAAGCUAUCACAUCUCUUAUAUAGAAGACCAUAACCAAUAGUUCCUUUAACAUAACGCAAAAUCCUCUUUGCUGCAUCCAUAUGAAUAGUUGUUGGAUUCUGCAUAAAUUGAGAAACAACACUAACAGAGUAUGAAAUUUCAGGCCUUGUAAUGGUCAAAUAGAUUAAGCUUCCAACAAGUUGUCGGAACUUCCUUGCAUCUUCCAACGGCCUCUCAUCAUCUUUCUUCAACUUCAAAUUCGGCUCCAUCGGAGUAGCUUUUUCUUUCGACUCUCCCAUACCGAAACGCUCCAGGAGAUUCCUUGCAUAGCCUUUUUGAGAAACAAAGUAACCUUGAUCUGAUUUUUCCACUUCUAGACCAAGAAAACAUCCAAUUUCCCCUAAAUUUUUCAUCUCGAAACAAACAGACAAGUCAUUCCUCAAAUUACAAAUUUCUGAUUCAUUAUCUCCAGUUAUUAUCAUAUCAUCAACAUAUAAUAAUACCAAGAGAUGUGCACCUGGUUCCAAUUUUAUAAAUAAACUAGAAUCUGAUUCAGAAACUCUAAAGCCACAAAAAAUGAGAUAUUGAGCAGCUUUACCAUACCAUUCUCGUGGGCUUACUUAAGGCCAUAUAGCGCUUUCUUCAAACGGUAAACACGAUCGGGAAAUUCCUUAGAGACAAAGCCAACAGGUUGCUCCAUAAAUACUUCACGGUCUAAAUCUCUGUAAAAACGCAUUCUUUACAUCAAGUUGUCAUAGUCUCCAACCUUUAAACGCAGCAAGCGAAAUAAUCGAUCUCACUGUCACCAUCUUUGCUACUGGGCUGAACGUCUCCUCGUAGUCCAAUCCAUAAUUUUGAGAAAAACCACGAGCCACCAGACGAGCUUUAAAUCUACCAAUGGUGCCAUCUAAUUUUUUCUUCACGCGAAAAACCCAUUUACAAGUGAUCAGCUUACAAUUUUCUGGUUUAGGAACCAACUCCCAUGUCUCAUUUUUGUCUAAAGCUUCAUUUCUUCUUCCAUGGCUGCCUCCCAUUUUGAAUGGCCUUUGGCUUCUUCAUAACUUACUGGUUCUUCAUCAGAAGCUCCAACAAAGAAACAAGAAGUGAUACUACAAUGAUUAAGCUGCACCUCAUAGUCUCUGAGAUACUCAGGUUGUCUCGUUUCUCUGGUAGACCUCCUCACUCUCUGUUACUCACCACCCUCAUGCCGUUGAACAUUCUGACUUGGAGUUUGUGUUGGAGAUUCAUUUUCCAACUCAUCAUUAGUGAAUGGUUGCAAAUUAACUCUUGGAAAUAGCUCAUCCAAGUUUUCAUCAUCACCUUCAAGAACAAUAUUUUCUGUAGCAAAUCUUUGAGUGGAGUAGAAAGAUGAUACUUCAUCGAACACGACAUCUCUCGAAGUAGUAAACUUUUUCGUAUCCGGAUCCAUACACCUCCAUCCCUUUCUGUAAGAAUCAUAGCCAACAAAUACACACUUCUUUGCUUUCGGAUCAAGUUUAGUUCUUUUCGAUUUCGGAACAUGUACAUAACAAAUAGAACCAAAGACUCGAAAAUAAUUCACAUUUGGCUUUUCACCAUAUAAAAUCUCAAAAGGAGAUUUCUGUGUACCUGGCCAAUGAGGCAGCCUAUUUGUCACAUGACAUGCACAAAGAACAGCUUCCGCCCAAAGCUCUCGAGGAAGAUUCUUGUCAUGCAGCCAUGAAAGGCAAAUCGAAGCAAGAUAACCAAGCUUUCUUUCUGCAACUCCAUUCUGCUGUGGAGUAUCUGGACAAGUCAUUUGACGACAGAUGUCAUUGUCAUCACAAUACUGAAAAAAAUCAUUGGACAUGUAUUCUCUGCCAUUGUCACUUCGAAGACACUUAAUCUUCUUUCUAAACUCUUUUUCAACCGCAGCUUUGAACUCCACAAACUUGGAUAAUGCUUCACUCUUCUCUUUCAAAAAUUUCACCCAAGCAAACCUUGAGUAAUCAUCCACCAAAACCAUGACAUAACAGUGGCCGCUACAACUCAAUGUUCUCGUUGGUCCCGUCAAGUCCGUAUGAACCAAUUCGAGCAAAGAAGAUCUCUGAUUUGAUGAGCUUUUGAAAGGAAGACGAUGAGAUUUACCAUAUUGACAGCCUUGACAAAUCACAUCUUCACGUACACUCUUUAAGAUCGGCAUCCCAUCUAACAACCUUUUCGAAGAAAUUUGUUACAGCAUUUGGUACCCCACAUGACCCAAUCAAGCAUGCUAAAUAGCGGCGUUAUCGGUUUGGCUUUUUUUCUUCACAUAAGCUUCACAUGCCGACAUAACGAACAACGAGCCUCUCUUUUCACCAGAAAACACAACAUCAGGAGAAAUUUCUUUCACAUUAUCAAGAACCUUCACAUCUUUAUGGCCAAACAAGACAUAUUUUCCAGAAUCAGUAAUUUGAGAAACUGAAACUAAAUUUUUCGUCAAACCUGGAACAUGAUACACAUCAGUCAAUUUGACACUUUCGGUUCUCAUAUCGUCGGCAACAUCGAUCCCCACAACGCCCUCUUUUGCUACCGGAUGAGUGGAGUUAUCCGCAGUCACAAUAACUUGAUCUCCAUGAUGUUCAUGCAUCUCCGAGAACAAAGUAUCAUUUUCGGUUACAUGGUGAGAACAACCAGAAUCAAUGAUCCACUCCUCCUUCUUGUUAUCAGCAUAAUUGACAAAAGCUUUUGAUGACUUUUGUUCAAUAGCUUCAACAGUAAAACAAUGCUCCCAUUUGAGUCGAUCAUCGGUUUCUUCCGUGGACUCGACAUUGGCCUUGGAAAUCUUCACACGGUAAUUUCUCUUGAUAUGUCCAGUCUUUUCGCAUCUGAAGCAUUUGAAAGACUUUUUUCUUUGCGAGUUGCCAUCUUUUUCCGAACUAGAGUCUUCAGAUCUGCCUUUAUUUCCAAACUCAUUCUUCUUGCUUGGCUUCCCUUUUGAGAAGAGAACGACAUCAGAUUCGAAACUUUUCGCCAUCUGCUUUGCCAAAGCUUCUUGAUUAGAGAACAAAUUCUCUAACUCCUCCAUCGAAGGCUGUGUCGACCACCCUUGAAUAGAAGUGACAAAAUGCCCAUACUCCUUCUUCAAACCGCGGACAAGAUAACGAUGCAAACGAGCUUCACUAACUUUCUCAUCCGUAUCUGAAAUUUCAGCACAAAUAUUUUUAACUCGUAAAAAAUAUUUUGAAAUUGACAUACCUCCUUGUUUUAACUCGGCCAAUUCGUUCUCCAACAAUUGCAACCUUGCGGUAUUCUUCUUGGUAAACAACCUUUCGAGCGUUUCCCAAACUUCUUUUGGAGAGUUAACAUCACGAACAUGAUCAAUGAACUCUUUGCUAAUAGAAGUCCUCAAAGCAAAGAGAGCUUUACCGCACUUGACCUUACACCUCCUUCGUGACUCGACAUUCUCGGGAAUAUCGGGAGGGAUUGUUGCAUCAACGUCAACAACCAAUCCCCACAAGUCCUGGCCUUGAAGAAAUGCCUCCAUACACAUCCUCCAAUACUUGUAGUUAGUGCCUACAAGCUUCUCCAUACCAAUCUGAUUAUUUCCUCCAUUUGAAACCUCCAUUGCAGCAACUAGCAAAACACCCUUUCACACAAUUAACCAAUGAAUAACCUGGCUCUGAUACCAUAAAACAAAAGGGAAUGACCGAGGUGAUGAAAGAAAUAAUAACAAGAAAAGCUCAAAGUAUUGAAGAACGUUUUUGAUUAAAGAAAAACACAAAAUUACAUUAGAUAAAAUGACAUAUAAAUAGUUUAACUACAUGUAACGUUAAAGCUAAAAAACCUGCAACUAACAAAACAUAAUCUGAUCAUAUCCCUAUAAAAUAGGAACCAACUUAUUUGAUAAAGAAAACAAGUAAAUUAAAAAAUCCAGUAAGAUGCACUAAUUUUUAACAUACCUUUGGAUCAUUUUAAGAUUCUAGACAAGUAGAGAAAAAAAACGAGCUUUUAACUCGAAUAAGAGAAAAUAAUUUUGAUACCUAAACUUUAAUUCUAUUUAUUAUUAAACUUUAAUUCUAUUUAUUAUUGCCAUAUAUCCUUCUAAUGGAGUUAAAAUCUUACCAAUUGUGGGACUAUUAGUUAGAAAAUUUUUAAUCAAAGUCAAGGGAUUUGAAAAUAAUUAUACCAAAAUUUAUUUUAAAAGCCUAAAUGAAAAAUAUUAAGACCAACCCAAGCCCGGCACAAUUUAGCCCAUCAACACAUCUACCCUAAACUUAAACUUUGCCCUCACACUACCCAAUUCAAUCUAGGCUUAAUAUAAAAUUGCCCCCUAAAUUAUAUUCAUUUUCUCAAAUAGGUAUCUUACCUUUUUUUUUUGUCAAAUUGAGUACUUAAAGUAAUUUUUCGCCGCAUUGGUACCCUGUUAGAUCUCCCUUAGUCAGCCAUUAGUAAACAUUGUUCAAUGUUCAAUGAUGAUGCGGCCCAAUCACUAAUAAGCACGUGGCAAAAAAAAGCCACAUAAGUAAACCAUCUCAUUCUUUGUAUAAAAUAAUUCCAAAAAUUAAAAAAUUUAGAAAAAUUAAAACUAUUUUUUGAUUUUAUAUUAAUAUUAAUUCAAAAUAAUAUUAAGAAAUACUUUCACACCCUGUUCCUCUCCCACGGUCCCCCACCAUCCUCACCCAACCCUCUCCCUCUGCUAACCCUUCAAUUAUAUUUUCAUAUAAAAAAAAGUUCCUCCUUUCUUUCUUCAACAUUGAUUCUUUGUCUCACAAUUCCCUUCAAAUCCAUCCACCACAUGUUUGGGAAAAUGACCCUCAAAAAAAUAAAUUUUGAGCUUGAAAUUGGUGUUUUCCUUUUCACGGACUGAAUUAGCUUCUCUAGGAACAUACAGAAUCCAUCACUGCCCUUCAAAUUCUAAAAUUCGUUUAACUCUCCUAAGCAUAGUAACUCCUAAGUCGUCCCCCCACUCUCUUGUAGGGAUUUGACCACCUCCGGAUUAUCAAUUUGAACUAUUCUUUAUUUUAUGUCUAACUAUUGUAAAACAUAUAUAAUAAAUAAGUAUUUUUCUCUUGUUCUUACACUAAUAAUCAAACGAAACAUUAGUAUUAUUUUAUCCCACAUCACUUAGAUAGGUGUUUUGAACUUUGUUUAACUAUUAUUUAACACUUCCAUUGGGGAAAAUACAAUCAAUGUUCCAAACCCUAAUUUGAUUUUGAUGUCAACAUCUCUCUACGAUGCUUCAACAAACCUAACAUCUUAUCAGUAUCAGGCAAGUUGUCUUUGAUUACAGGGACUAAUUUAAAAUUUUGGAUCCACGAGCUCACUCGAGGGAACUUGUGUCUUCUAUAAGCCCGAGCCAGUGAGCAACCAUGCAAAAUGCAAUGUCCACCAUGCUUAUCUCGUCUCUGCCACAAAAUUUUUUCCCUCCAAUUAGUGCAUGUUUUUCAAUGGCUUCCAGCAUUUCCAACCACUCCUUCACUACCGCCUUUUGUUCUUCACCUUCGGUUCAGUAAAGCUUUGAGAGUAAAUGACUCUAUUUUAAGCAGAGAUUCUAGUAUCGGCCAUCAAAAGUUAUUUGCCAUAGAAAAAUCCAAACUACAAAGUGCUAAAAUCUCAAUUUCAACUAGGUUAAAAUAUGCUACAAGUCUUUGUAUUCUUUGUAUGUUUGCAAUUCAGUCCUCCUAUUUUUUGUUUCAAGAAAUUUAAUCCCCCUACUGCUAAAGUUAAAAAGGGUUAAAUCACUUUAGGAGGCUAAAACUUAGUAACUACUCCCACACUGGGGCCUGAACAUUUUUUUUGUUCAAAUUAGUUCUUGAACUUGGCGACUAUUCUCACGGUAUAGCCUGAACUAUUUUUUGUUUAAAUCCCUGAACUUGACAAUUAUUCCGACAUUGAAGCUUGGAUUUUUUUUUUUUUUGGUCCAAGUUAAACAUUGUUUGAUAAACCAUUGAAAAAAAUUGAUUAAUUGAAAAUUAAUAUUUUCAAUGAUUAGUAUUUUACACAUGUUUGAUACUCCAAUAGAAGUUUUUCUAUAAAAAAAAGUGUGGAAUAUGAUGAGUAAAUAAAAUCUAAUUAUAACUUCAUGGAAAAUAUUUUCAAUGAACUCAAUUUUAUUUUAUUUAUUUUAUUAUUAAGUUAUCUUAUAAAAACUUAAUGUUUAAAAACUUGAUUUUGGUUUAGAAUAAAGUAAAAUGUUUAAAAAUUAAUGAAAAAUGUAAACUAUAAUUUUAUAUAAUUCAAAUUCUAUAUUUAUAAAAAAAAUCUAAUUAUAUUUUGUAAUUAAUUUUAAUUAAUGUAUCAAACAAAUUUUAUAACUUAAAUUUGGCACUUAAAAUUUCAAUAUUAACCCUUAUUUUUUCAGUACUUAAUUUUCCAAUUUAUCAAACAACACCUUAAUCCUUAAUAUUUUCUUAAACACCCUAAUGUUCAAGCUCUUACGUGGGAACAAUUACCUAGUUCAAGCACUAACAAGAGAACAAUUACCAAGUUUAAGGAUUAACUUGAACAAAAAAAAGUCCAUACCCCAAUGUAGGAACAAUUACCUAGUUCAAGCCUUAACAUGUGAACAAUUGCCAAGUUUAUGGAUUAAUUUGGACAAAAAAAAAGUUCAAACUCUAAUGUGAGAAUUGUUGAUGUGAGAAUUGUUGUCAAGUUCAGGCCUCAAACUAUGAUUUAACCCAUUUAAAAAUGUAAAUAUAAUUGUAAUCGUAAUUAAUUGUUUAUGCUAAAUUCAAGUUCAUAACUCUUUUUUUUUUUUGUUAUAUGACUAUCAAAUGAGUAACUUUUUUUAAUUUCAAAAUAUCGCACCAACAAAUUUAACAAAAAAAUUAACCGUGUUAAUAAUUAAAUAUAAAUUUUGAUAUAUAAAAAGUAGAGAGAUUAAAUUCUUGAAAAUAAAAGUAGGUGAACUAAAUUCUAAAUAUAUGAAGAAUAUGGGACUUAGAGUGUAUUUUAACUUUUCAACUAUCAUUAAAUAUUUAAUACUAGAUUAUAAUAAAUAAAAGACACCUACUUCAUGAAUGAAAUUAUUAUAAUGUUAUUUUUAUCUUUUUAUAUUUUUAUUAUGAUGUAGAAUUUUUUUAUUGAUACGAAAUUUAUUAUUAAUUGAAUAUAGUUUAUUUGAGUUGGUGGAUGACACCAACUCGAUAAAAAGCUUAAUAAAUAAUUAGAAAUUCUAUCACAUACAUAUGCGUGUGAAAACCACAAAUUUCAAACACUAAUGUAUGUUUAAAAAAUAUCAUACAAUAAAUAAUGAAACAUAUGGUUUAAAGCUAAUUAAUAAUAGCAUAUGAAAUAUAUAUGAUGUUAAAAUGAAAACUAGAUUAAAAUUGUCUAUCAUUUUGUUGUCCUCAAUCUUGAGUCAAUGUACUUGUGACAUCAACUCAGUUAAGGGUUUUAUUAUUAACUAUAUAUAUACAACCGGUGGAGGUAAUAAAUCGUGCAUAAUAAAAUAAAAAUGUAUAAAAAUAUUAAAAUAAAACUUUAGUUGGAUGGUAACUUAAAAACUUUAAUAAUGCAAUUGGCAUGGGUUUGAUUCCUACCAUGUACAUUUUUUUUAAUGAAAAGAUUAAAAUACCCUCUAAUAAUAUUACUUAUUUUAAUUACGUUAAAGCCUUCCUGUAAUUUCCUAACCGAGUUGGUGCCCAAUUGACUUGUGACACCAACUUAAUCAGGUGCUUUAUUAAUACUAGAAAUCCUAUCACACACGUAUGCAUGUGGAAACCGCAAAUUUAGAAUACAAAUGUGUAUUUAAAAAUAACAUAUAAUAAAUAAUAAAAUGUAUAAGUGGACACAAAUAAUAAUAAUAACACGUAAAAUAUGCAAGAUAUUAAAAUAAAAAAAAGAUUAAAAUUGUUUAUCGUGAUAUUGUAAUCAAUCUUGAGUCAGUGUCGAGUUCAAUCAAAUACAUUAAUAUAUAUACUAGAAAUCCUAUCUCUAUAUAUAAUUGAUUGGGGUAAUAAAGCAUGCAUAAUAAAAAUUGAAAUGUACAAAACUAUUAAAAUAGUACUUUAAUUGAGUGAUAAAUUAAAAAUUUUUCUAACCCAAUUUACUCGUUUUCAAUUCCCACCAUAUGUAUUUUUUAUUGAUUUUUUUAAAAUAAAAAGAGAAACAUAAUAUAAAGAAUAUAAAUAUGAAAUUCUUUGUAACUUGUUAAAGAAAUUUCGGAUCAACGUAAUGAUAAAAUAAUGAUAAUAACAGAUUCAACCCCUAUACUUUAUCAAUAUAUCUAAUAUGGUAUCUUUACUUUUAAAAUAUAUUGCCAUAUAUCCUUCUAAUGGAGUUAAAAUCUUACAUCGCUUUGAAUGCAACCAAUUGUAUGCUGCCAUGUGGCACUAUUAGUUUGAAAAAUUUUAAUCAGAGUCAAGGGAUUUGAAAAUAGUUAUUCCAAAAAUUGUUUUAAAGGCAAAAAGAAGAAGAAAAACAUUAAGACCAACUCGAGCCCGGCAAAAUUUAGCUUUCAGAGAGAUGGCUGAGUGGUUGAUAGCUCCGGUUUUGAAAAUCGGUAUAGUUCGAAACAUAGAAUUAUCGAAGGUUUGAAUUCCUCUCUCUCCUUUGCUCGAUGAAUAGGUUUGUAAUUAAUUGGAUUUGGCCACAGCUGUACUGAGAUCGAUUCCACUAAAAAUUGAUGAUUUAAUUGGUUUAAUUGCCAAUUCGAUUGAUAUAAUAUUAAUCCAAAAUAGUCAAUAAAAUAUUUUUAUUCUAGGAUAAACAUACAUUUUGAUAUUUGAACUUGAUUUCAAGGUCCAAAUUGGUACUUAAAGUUUAGGGUUUAAAUAGGAAGAUAAUACACUUCAACACACUCAAACCCACGAGAUUUUAGACUCUUAAAAAUUAACAAUUCAAUUUAAUUUAGUUCUUUAACCUAAAACUAUGAAGUUUGGCUCUCAAUAAUUUAUAUUUUAUGCUAAUCAUUUUUAUUAAAAUAUUUUAAUUUUGAUUUUGUUUCGAACUGAGCAAUCGAUCAAUUCAAUCCAAUCCAAAGAUUUAACAAACUCUUUUACGAAUCAAAAUAGAACCAAAUUCUCUAUAAAACCAACAAAAUCAAAUUAAUUAUGAAUAAUUUACUUCUCUACAUAUGAUUGAAUUACUAAAUAAUAUUGGCAAAAAAUACUAAAUAAUUUUUUUUGUAAAUAUAAUUUUAAUAUUAAUUUUUUCUUUCACUCAUGGAUAUGACAAAAUUCGCUAUUUGAAAUUGAAAGCUGAUUAAUUUGAUUUUGGAUUUCCAAAAUGAAAACCAAUUUACCGGACCUACAAUAUACUCGACAAAACUAAAAUUUACCCGUUGAAUUGCUUUAGUCAGUUUGAUCCGACUAUUGCACACCCUUAAUUUUGCUCCCUCAAUGUAUGUAUACUUGUUAACAUCGGGACUGGUAUCAUUGGAAUGAAACGUGGAGAGCAAGCAACGAAAUUUUCCGAAGAAAAGUGUCCUCUCCUACUUCCUUCUUCCUCAUACUUUCUUCUGCUGUUUCUUUCUUCUUUCUUUCUUUAUUUGCUAAAUUAUAUCUAUAUCCAUGCUUAAAAUUUUGAAAAUUGGGCAAAGCAUCAAUAUAUUCCUUUCUUUAUGAAGACCAAAACCAACACCCAAGAAAAGAAUCUACUAACCAUGAGGUCUGGAAAAAUUUGAUGAAGCAAUUUCAUUUUUGUUCUUCUUCUUCUAAAUAAUUUCACAGUAUCUGAGAGUUGGAAAGAAAGAGAGAUGGAAAUUCAACAUUUCAGCCACCACCAUCCUUUGGUCUUCAUCCAAGCUCACAGUGUUGCAGCUCUUUGCCUUGUGUGUGAGAAACCUGUAGAGGGCUGGAGCUAUGGCUGCAAUCAAUGUGAGUUUUAUCUUCACAAGGGAUGUGCCGAGUUAGAGUUAGCCCCCAAGAUUCAGCAUCCCUUCCACCCCAAACACCCUCUCACUCUUCUUCCAAAAUCACCUUAUUCUGAGUUAGGAAUUUGUAAUUUUUGUCGUAAGAAAUUUGGGGGAUUUGUUUAUGAUUGUAAUGAUUGUAGUUUCGAUCUGCACAUCAAUUGUGCUUUGCUUCAAUCAUCCAUUGCUGCAAAUUUUCCUAAUUCUUUGCACCCCCAUCCUUUGUUAUUCAUUCAAAAUCAUAACAACGAAGUCAAGUCUCAUUGCUCCGGAUGUCAGAAACCAAUAUCUGGUCAAAUUUACCACUGUUCAGAUUGCACAUAUCCUUAUUUUAACCUUCAUAAGGAAUGUGCUGAACUACCCCUUGAGAUUAAUCACCCCUACGAUCGUAGGCAUCCUCUUACUCUCUUGCCACAACCGCCUACUCAUCCCCCUAAAUGUAGUUGCUAUUUGUGCAGAAUCCAAUGGAAGGGAUUUGUUUAUUCCUGCUCUCUAUGCAACUUUGAUCUUUCACUGGAUGAUUUUCUUUUUUCAUCACCAACAAUCACAGUUGCAAGUCAUGAACACCCGUGGAUGCUUGUAUCUAGAAAAAUGUCGUUUGUUUGUGAUUUUUGUGGCACUGACGGAGAUCACACCCCCUAUUUCAGUGCUAUAUGUCACCUCCUUGUCCACAAGAAUUGCAUUUCAUUGCCACGCCACAUCAUGAUAACACGACAUCGUCACACGAUUUCUCUUUCCUAUUCUCUUCGACAAAAUCAAGUUGAGGAUUGGAUGUGCAAAAUUUGUUACGAGGAAGUUGAUAUAAGAUAUGGCAAUUACCGUUGUCCUGCUUCUCGUUGCCGUUAUAUUGCUCAUGUACGUUGUGCAACUGAUAAAGCAAUUUGGGAUGGAACAAUUAUGCCAGAAGGCUAUGAUGAGAGGUCCGAGGAAGUGGUGGAUGAACCUUGGAAUUUGAUUACUGAUGUUGUUGAACAAAUUCGUAUUGGAGAGCUAAUGGUUGCAAGUGAGAUCAAGCAUUCCUAUCAUGAUCAUAAUUUAAGACUCACUUUUAGUGGGAAGACCAAAGAUGAUGAUAGUCACUGCGAUGGGUGCACGAGACCUAUAUCAACUCCUUUUUAUAGUUGUGAGCAAUGCAGGUUCUUUCUCCACAAAGAUUGUGCUGAAUUGCCUAAAGAAAUGCCACACCCAUUUCACAAGCAUUUGCUUACUCUCUCAAACUCACACGAUGAGUAUGGCUAUUCAUACUGCGUUGCUUGCCGUCGUCGGUAUCAAGGAUUUGGGUACAGAUGCUACAAAAGAGAUUGCAGGUUCGGAAUUGACAUUCAAUGUAUGUUAUUGUCGGACACCUUGAAGCACCCAAGUCAUGAGCAUUCACUCGUUCUUGUCCACAACAACGAGGGAACGAGUUGCAGUGCUUGUUUCAGUUAUUUACUAUCAAUGGAUGUUGCAUAUAGAUGCAUGAAGCGCUGUGAUUUCAGUUUAGAUGUAGGUUGUGCAUCACUACCACUCACUGCUUGGUACAAGUAUGACAGGCAUGCUCUUACUUUAACUUUUUCUGAUGAUUCUGAGCCUUCUCAACUUUACUGCGAUCUCUGCGAAAAAGAAAGAGAGCCAAAUCGUUGGUUUUACUACUGUGCUGAUUGUGAUAACUCUCUUCAUCUCAAUUGUGCUAUCGGAGAUCUCCCAUAUAUGAAGCUUGGGAACAAAUUCAAAACUGCUUGGCAUAAACAUCCAUUCACUGUUGUGAAAAACAUCUGGAAUUGCCCUCCAUGUAAGGAAUGUGGUGAGGUUUGCAAUGGGCAGGCCUUAGAAUGUAAAGAAUCUGAAUGCAAUUUUACCGUCCAUUGGAAUUGCCUUUGGGAUCUCCGGGAAUGAUAUACCACUCAAGUUGAAGAAACAGAGAAGCUGCAACAUCAUAGGUGUGUGGUGUUGUGUGGAAGGGUGUAGGAGAUUUGGUAAAAAUGGGUGAUGGCCUUAGUUGUUGUAAUCUGCAUUAUGUGAUGUUAAUGGUGGUUGUUUGAGCAGUAGAAGGUUGUGUUAGAUGAAACAUGGUUUGUAACCACACAUCUGUAUCUUUCACUUUUCUAUUUGCUUAUUAUGCAUUCAACUUGUAUCUAAAAUUAGUGAUGAGAAGGAAGAAAUGGUUUUUAGGUUGUGAUAAUAAAAUAUUUUUAAUAUGAGAAGUAUGAAAAUACGAAAAUAAUGUUGAGUUUGGAAAUUUAAAAACAAAAUCAUUCUUCCCUUCAUAACUGCAUACAAAAUUGUGUAAAAUAAGUAGGGGGGAGACCAUCGACAGCCACUCACUGUUGUGAAAAACAUCUGGAAUUGCCCUCCAUGUGAGGAAUGUCGUGAGCUUUGCAACGGACAGGCCCUAGAAUGCAAAGAAUCUGGAUGCAACUUUACCAUACACUGGGAUUGUUGUUGGUAUUAGACCUUCUAGGACUCUGGUGAACCAUUUCAAUGAUACUCCACUCAAGACUACCAGACAGAGAAGUCGCAACUUCACAUGUCUGUUCUGUCCAUCUGCAUGCACGUACCAGAUUUGCCAACAAGGGCUCAUGUCCGUUUGUUUUUCUUAAUUGCUUUUUAUUAUGUUAUUGUUGUCUAAGAACUUCAACCUUGUAUAAAUCAAACAUGAUUUGAGGCUAGUCAUGAGAAUUCUUUUAGGUUAAAUAUACAUUUUGGUACCUAAACUUGGCUCUAAGGUUCACAUUGGUACCUGAACUUGACGUUUCGGUUCAAAUUGGCUUUUUAUUCCAAAUUAGUACUUGAGUUAGAUGACAUAUUUGAACUAUGAAGUCAAGUUCGGUACUAAUUUGAACCAAAAUGACAAAUUCAAAUACCUAAUUGAACAAAAAAAAUUUAAGUACCAAACUGAACCUUGAGGUUAAGUAUUAAUCAUUUAAGUUUUUUAAUCAUUCGAAUAAAUGGAAAAAUAGUAAUUUUGGCCCUUCAUGAAAAUUAAUCAUAUAAUUUAAGCUCUUUUAGAAUAAAACUUUUAACUUCGGUCUCAAAAUUUUAAAAUUUUAUCUUAGCCGCCUGCAAGGUUUUUGGCUUCGUCACUAUAAGAGACUAAAUCACAAGAAAAUGAGCAAAUCCUGAAGGGGCAGGUAGGGGACUGUCAGUCUGUCACCCAAUUUGAGUUUUCAUAUAAAUAAUGAUAUUAUAAAUUAAUAUAUAGUAAAAUUCUAUUUUAGUCCUUUAAAAUAAAAGCAGUUCUAUUUAAUCCCUUUAAAUAUGAUAAAUUACAUUUUAACCUUUCAAAAAUUUAUAAUUUAAUUUAGAUCCAAGGGAAGGAGGUUCUAUUGGUUGAGCUCAUCCACCACACUAAACAUUAAUUAUUGGCAAAAAGAAACUGUUACAAACUUACAAUGCAUGAUGGAGAAAACAUAGAAAUGUACGAAAAGAAAAUCCCAGUCCUUUGGCAUUAUUUCUCAAUAUCAAGAGUACUUAAUUUUUUAGUGAUUAUGUUGAGAUUUCCAAUAAAGUUCCCUUCUUUUUUCCAAGAAAUCCACAAUUCUAGUGUAAUCGGGGACAUUGUCUUUGAUCACAGGGUGUUCGCUGAAAUGCCUGACCCAGGCAUGCAGGCGUGGGAAGCUAUCGGCUUUAAUGAACUUUACUCCCCCCACCACCUCUUCCAUGGGUGCCAACAUAUGAAUAACCAUUCCAAAAACAAGGUCAGCUACGCCAAUUUGGUCGCCGCCAAAGAACUUUUUAUCUCCAAGACCAUGUUCCUCAAUCGUCCUCAGAAUUUCGUAGUUGUCCUUGAUUGCCUUCUGCUGUUCUUCGCCAUGUUUAGCAAAGAAUUCCCACAUUGGUUGAGUCUGCAAACUUAUAUUAAUAAGGUUAGGAUCAAACAUUACUGGUCUGCAAGUGGUUUGAGACUAGAUCCCCAGCUUGGAGGGAGGGGUGAAAUUGGUUUUAAAAUGGAUUAAUUUGAGUUAAAUUUUUUUUUUAUCAUUUUGGGUUCGAAUUUUUUACGGUCUAACUCGUUUUUAAGUUUGGAUUGGGCAAGUUUUGAUCAGUCAAUCCUGGAUUUGGCUUCACUCUAUUACUUUUAAUCUAUUAAUAUCCAAUGCAUGUCUAAUGAUCAUUCACUAAUUAAUAUUUACAUUUAAUAGAUGGUCCUACACAUUUGAAUGGUGAUGAUAAUUAUAUUGGAUAUUAUUAAUGGAAGAAAAAGUAAUGGAGUAGAUCUUGACCCGUUAAUUCUAACCCAAACUUAAAAAAUUAACCCAAUUAUAUUGAAUCCGAACAAAAAAUGACUUAUAUCCAAAACGAUUUAGAAUGAUCUAAAUCCAAAAUGAUCUGAUCAAGUACCUUGAAUUGACUUGAACUCAAGAUGACUUAAGCAGGAAAAAAAAAACUAACUAGUAAAUUGGAAAUAUUCGAACCGAAAAUAACCCAAACAUCACAAACUCAAAACUGAUUUAAACUUGAAAUGACUCGGGCCCAAAACAACCCAAAGUUUUAAAAACUAAAUUGGAAUUAUUAAUCGAGCGAGUCUUAGUUCAAUCGACACAAUUACUAUUGCAAUAACUAGAAAGGCGUGGGUUUGAGUUUAAAGAUAAGGAGAGAUUAUAAAUAAAAAUACAUGAGUUUGAAAUAUUGACUUAUGAUUAUCAAAUCAGACAAAUUAAUUGAAUUGAACUUCCAGACUCGAAUCAAAAUUCACAAGAGAACAAAUUUGGGAAGAAAAAGUAGAUUAAAAAAAUGAGGAAGCAUAUGACAAAUGUUGAACAAAAUCAAGAUAACACGUACGUUUUCCUGAAUGAAUUUGGCCCAAAAUCUAGCUACGGAUCUCUCGUAAGCAUCUUUUGGCAACAAAGGAUUAUGUGGCCACACUUCAUCUAUAUAUUCCAAAAUAACCAAUGACUCUACAAUUGGCUUUCCUCCAUGAACGAGCACUGGGAUCUUUUUAUGAACUGGGUUGUACUGCAACAACAGAUCACUCUUAUUAUAAGGCAGAUCUUCUUCAAUGUAUUCAUAUUCCACACCUUUUAGCUUUAAUGCCCAAAUGACCCUUCUACUAAAAGGACUUGCCCAAAACCCAAAGAGCUUCACUUCAUCCAUGGUCUAGUGUUUUGGUCUCUGUUUUGUGAAGUAAACUAGGGGCCAUUAUAUAAUUGUUUUGGGUGGGGGGAUUUGGACUGUUCUUGGUCAGCCUAAAUACAAUCGUCAUGGAUGAUGUAUCGCAAUUACUAAUACUAUGGCUUGCUGCAAAUUAUAUUUUGCCAGAUUCUCCAGUUAAAUUAUGCAUAUAUGCCGGUUUUUUUAAUUAGUUAAAUAGGUCGUUUUUUUCAAGAUUUAAGGAAAUAGGUUAAUUUUGAUGAGAUUGUAUGAAAGUACUUGAUGAGAUUGUAUGAAAAUGCGUCCAGUUGUACGUGCUUUUGCUGACACGUCAGAAAAACGUGCCAGUUAAAAGGUUUUCUAAAAAUUCCAAAGAAAGCUCGUCCAGCUUCCUGGCAACUGUGCAGCUGGACACGUAUUUCAUACUCUCUCUCCAAAAUCGGUCGAGUUUCUUAAAUCUUCAAAAAUUUUGGUACCGAAGGUUUAUUUUGGUUCAAUUACGUACUUGAACUUGACGUCUUGGUUCAAAUUAGCUUUUUAGUCUAAAUUAGUACUUGAGUUAGAUGACGUAUUUGAACCAAUUUGAACUACGAAGUCAAGUUCGGUGCUAAUUUGAACCAAAAUGGAAAGUUUAAAUACCUAAUUGAGCAAAAAAAAAUUAAGUACUAAAUUGAACCUUGAGGUUAAACAUUAAUCAAUUUUAAGUUUUUUAAUCAUUCGAAUAAAUGGAAAAAUUGUAAUUUUAGCCCUUCGUGAAAAUUAAUCAUAUAAUUUAAGCUCUUUUAGAAUAGAACUUUUAACUUCAGUCUCAAAAUUUUAAAAUUUUAUCUUAGCCCCCGCAAAGUUUUUGGCUUCGUCACUAUAGGGGACUGUCACCCAAAUAUGAGUUUUCAUAUAAAUGAUGAUAUUAUAAAUUAAUAUAUAGUAAAAAUUCUAUUUUAAUCCUUUAAAAUGAAAACAAUUCUAUUUAAUCCCUUUAAAUAUGAUAAAUUACAUUUUAACCUUUCAAAAUUUUAUAAUUUAAUUUAGAUCCAAUCCAAGGGAAGGAGGUUGUAUUGGCUGAGCUCAUCCACCACACCAAACAUUAAUUAUUGGCAAAAAGAAAUUGUUACAAACUUACAAUGCAUGGAGAAAACAUAGAAAUGUACGAAAAGAAAAUCCCAAUCCUUUUGCAUUAUUUCUCAAUAUCAAGAGUACUUAAUUUUUUCUAGUGAUUAUGUUGAGAUUUCCUAUAAAGUUCUCUUCUUUUUUUCAAGAAAUCCACAACUCUAUUGUAAUCGGGGACAUUGUCUUUGAUCACAGGGCGUUCGCUGAAAUGCCUGACCCAGGCAUGCAGGCGUGGGAAGCUAUCGGCUUUAAUGAACUUUACUCGCCCCACCACCUCUUCCAUGGGUGCCAACAUAUGAAUAACCAUUCCAAAAACAAGGUCAGCGACGCCAAUUUGGUCGCCACCGAAGAACUUUUUUGUCUCUAAGACCAUGUUCCUCUCGUCCUCAGAAUUUCAUAGUUGUUCUCGAUUGCCUUCUGCUGUUCUUCACCGAAUUUACGAAAGAAUUCCCACAUUGGUUGAGUCUGCAACCUUAUAUUAAUAAGGUUAGGAUCAAAUAUUACUGGUCUGCUAGUGGUUUGAGACUAGAUCCCUAGAUUCGAGGGGGUGAAAUUGGCUUUAAAAUGGAUUAAUUCGAGUUUUAAAUUUUUUUUAUCAUUUUGGAUUACUUGUUUUGGCCAUUUUGGGUUCGAUUUUAUACACCAAACAAAACAUUAAUUAUUGGCAAAAAAAAAUUUUUUUAUUGUUACAAACAUACAAUGCAUAAAAAAAAAGUAAAAAUGCUACAAGAAAAAGAACAAUCAAUCCUUUUGCAUUAUUUCCCAAUUUUUAGUUCUUAAACGAUCAAAAGUACCUUCUUUCUUUCUUUUUUCUAGCUAUUCUGUUGAGAAUUCCUACAAAAUUCUCUUCUUAUCUUCAAGAAAUCAACAACUUUAGUGUAAUCAGGGACAUUGUCUUUGAUCACAGGGUGUUCGCUGAAAUGCUUGGCCCAAGCAUGCAGGCGUGGGAAGCUAUCGGCUUUAAUAAACUUAUAUCCCACCACCUCUUCCAUAGGCGCCAACAUAUGAAUAAUCAUUCCAAAAACAAGAUCAGCUAUGCCAAUUUGGUCGCCACCAAAGAACUUUUUGUCUCCAAGACCAUGUUCCUCAAUCGUCCUCAGAAUUUCAUAGUUGUUCUCGAUUGCCUUCUGCUGUUCUUCGCCGAAUUUACGAAAAAAUUCCCACAUUGGUUGAGUCUGCAAACUUAAGGUUAGGAUCAAAUAUUACUGGUCUACAAGUGGUUUCAGACUAGAUCCCCAGAUUGGAGGGGUGAAAUUGGUUUUGAAAUGGAUUAAUUCGAAUUUUAAAAUUUUUUACAUUUUGAAUUACUUGUUUUGGUCAUUUUGGGUUAGAUUUUUUGAUGGUGUAGCUUGUUUUUAAGUUUGGAUUGGGCAAGUUUUGAUCAGUCAAUCCUGGAUUUGACUUCAGUCCAUUACUUUUUAAUCUAUUAAUAUCCAAUGCAUGUCUAAUGAUCAUUCUCUAAUUAAUAUUCACAUUUAAAUGGUCCUACAUAUUUAAAUGGUGAUGAUAAUUGUAUUGGAUAUUAUUAAUGAAAAAAAGGAGUAAUGGGGUCGAUGUUAAUCCGUUGAUUCUAACACAAACUCAAAAAAUCAACCCAAUUCUAGCUACGGAUCUCUCGUAAGCAUCUUUUGGCAACAAAGGAUUAUGUGGCCACACUUCAUCUAUAUAUUCCAAAAUAACCAAUGACUCUGCAAUUGGCUUUCCUCCAUGAACCAGCACUGGGAUCUUUUUAUGAACUGGGUUGUACUGCAACAACAGAUCACUCUUAUUAUAAGGCAGAUCUUCUUCAAUGUAUUCAUAUUCCACACCUUUUAGCUUUAAUGCCCAAAUGACCCUUCUACUAAAAGGACUUGCCCAAAACCCAAAGAGCUUCACUUCAUCCAUGGUGUAGUGUUUUGGUAUCUGUUUUGUGAAGUAAACUAGGGGCCAUUAUAUAAUUGUUUUAGGUGGGGGGAUUUGGACUGUUCUUGGUCAGCCUAAAUACAAUCGUCAUGGAUGAUGUAUCGCAAUUACUAAUACUAUGGCUUGCUGCAAAUUAUAUUUUGCCAGAUUCUCCAGUUAAAUUAUGCAUAUAUGCCGGUUUUUUUUUUUAAUUGGUUAAAUAGGUCGUUUUUUUUCAAGAUUUAAGGAAAUAGGUUAAUUUUGAUGAGAGUGUAUGAAAGUGCGUCCAGUUAGACAAGCUUUUGCUGACACGUCAUGAAAAGGUGCCAAGUUAAAAGCGUUUUCUGAAAAUUCCAAAAAAAGCUCGUCCAGCUUCCUGCCAACUGUGCAGCUGGUCACGUUUUUCAUACUCUCUCUCCAAAAUCGGUUGAGUUCCUUAAAUCUUCAAAAAGAUGGCCUAUUUGACCAAUUAAAAAAACAACGGUAUAUAUGACUAAUUUAGCCAAAUUCUUCACUUUUCUUGACUGUAAUAAUAAUUUUUAAGUCCAUACAAUUACAUUUUUGUGAUUAUAAUUUAUACCAUGAAUUUAUUAAAAACUCUUAAUUUUUAUAAAAUGGUCAAUAUUAUUUUAAGGAUAUUUUUGUUUGGCUUAAUUGAAAAUGAGGUCCUUAAACUAUGUCCUUUGUUUGAGUUAAGUACUUAAAUUUUUUUUGACCGAAUUAGAUACCUAAAUUUUAUUUCGUAAUCGAAAUUGGCCGCUCUUUUUCACAUUCGUUUAAAAAAUCAUUCCAACCAAUCAAAAAGUGUCAUGUCACUAUCUCAUUAAAAUAUAAUCAAAUAAAAAUUUUAUAUUAAUAUUAAAUAAAAAAGAUUACCUCCCAACUAAAAAUAUUUAAAAAAGAUGUAAAUAAAAACAAACAGAAAUUUUAUAUAUUAAUAUAUAUGCCUUGAUCAUCAAGCAAAAUCGUCAACCUUCCAACUAAAAAUCGGCAGCACUUUUACUUUUAUAUAUAUAUGGUCCCCUCUUCCUUUACUUAUUUGAGAAAAUAUUCCAAGAGCCCCCAUAAAAUAUUCAGUAAAAUGGAGUGGGAGUUGGAGGUAAAAUUGGAUUGAGUUAUCCAUCUAGUGAGAAGGUGGGAUUGUGGGAGGGGGAAGGAAAGAGAUGGUGAUGGUGGAAGGGAGGGGAGAGAGACAUGGGGGAGAGGAGAGGGAUGGAGUUGAGGUAUGUUUUAUUUUAUUUUGAUGAUGACGUGAGGCUCUUUGAUUGGUUUUGGCUUUUUUUUUUUUAAUGAAGUGUAAUGGUAAGGGUUAAUUUCAGUUACAGAAAUAAAAUUUAAGUACUUAAUUUGACAAAACAAAAUUAGGUACCUAACUCAAAUGAAGGGCAUAGUUUAAGGACCUAAUGUUCAAUUAAGCUUUUUUUUUAUGUUUUUAUAUAAAAUCUAGAAAAUACAUUCACGUAAUGAGAUUCGAACUCAAAACAUCAUGAAUUUUAUUCUCUCAACUUUACCAUCUCAAUUAAAAAACAUAUUUAAGUAUUUAUUUCAAAAUUUAAAUCUACUUUAAAUAAUUGGUAUGAAUUUCUUGAGCAAGAAGAGCAUGGGUGAAACUAGGGGUCCUCGGCCCCCUAAAAUGAAAACUUUUCUAUUUAAGUUCUUUAAAAUUUUUAAAAUUUUAAAUUAGUAAAGGUAAAAUUACACUUUGACCUCCUAAAAUAUAAAAAAAUUGAUUUAAUCCUUGUAAAAAAAUAAAGAUAUAGACUAUUAAAAUGAUGAAAUUACAUUUUGGCCAUCGUAAAAAUUACAAUUAUAAUUUGCCUCCUCUAACUAAAAAAUGGACAAAUUAAUCAUUGUAUAGUCGAUCAGAGAGCAAACUAAUAUUUUUAUUAAAAAUUUCAUUCAUUUUUAUUGUUAAAUACUGACGUGGUUGAAUGAGCAACUAAACAGUGACACUUGGUGUGCGAUGUGUACCUUAUGUUGACAUAGAGGGACUAAUUUAAGUAAAAUGAAUGAAAUUUUUAAUAGAAGAAAUAGACAGUUUUUUUAAUAAGCAACUAAACAGUGUUUUUUUUAUAAUUAAGGUAUCAUAUAUAUUUAUUUUACCCAUGUGUUGAUUUGAUGAUCAGGGUGUUCACCGUCUCAAAUGAAAUCUAGGUUCAAGUCACGCUAAUCGCGUUGCUGUUAGAACUUUUCUCUCCUCUUAUAAUUUACCAAAAAAAGAUAAUCUAUCUUUGAUGUUUUAGAAACGUGUCAUCAUGUCGAGGGAGCAUUUGACUAUAAAAUCAAAUUGUGCUAAUGUGUCGAUAUGUAAUAAGUGAAAAAUAUUUUAGAAGUGUUUUAGAACUAACUACUACUUAAGUUAUUCGAAAAUUCUAUUUUAUUAUAUAUUAUAUGUGUAUGUAUGCUAACUUAUAUAAUAAAUUAACAAAAAUAAAAUAAAAUAAAAUAAGAUUACUUCUUUUUUCAUGUUUCUUACUCGUUGAAUUCUGUAAUAAUCCGGUUUUUGGUAGUGUUGGAAAGUGAAAUAUCGACACUUCAUUUUCGUAAAUCAAAUCCGUAAAAUUCAUUAUUAAAUCACUCAACAAUUUUGAGAAUUUUUUUUUAAAACUUUUGAAGUUUGCAUGUUAAAUAGUUGUUUCUUCAUGGGGGAGACUGUCAAAGUGGUAAAGGCAAGGAGCAAGCUUGUGCUUGUGACAGCAACUUGGGGAAGAUUUCGGGAAGUUUCCUUGAAAUUUACACACUGACUCGUUUCCUUAAUUGCCAGGUUGAAAAAAACUAGUUGGUGACUUCAAUUAAGUUGGCUGAAUUUUAUGAAUAAACUGUGAAUUAGCUGCUGUUGAUUUUCGGUAUGUAGCAAAUAAAACAUGCUGGAAAUUUGAAGAAAUGGUUGUCCAAAAUGACUGUUGUUUUCAUAAGACAUGAAGAAAUGGUUGUCUAAAUUGGCUGCUGUUCGGUUAUGGUGUGAGUUUAAUUCAUUUCUUUCUUGAAUCGAUUCGAUUUUAAAAAUUUGAUAAAAAAUUUAAAAUUUAAAUUAAAUAGUUUGAAUUAAUAAUUUAUUUGGAUAAACUCGAAUAAAAAAUUAAAUUUUUUGGUUUAAUUCGAAUAUGAACUCGAAUAUGAAUUACAGAAUUCGAAUUAUCUGAAAAUCUAAAUAAAGAACGCAAAAUUCAAAUUCAAAUUAACAUAAUCUGAACUUACUAAGUAACGAUCUCUUCAAAUUCAAGCUUAAAAUCAUCAAUUAAACUUUAAUGGCAACUUUCUGAGCAUCUAACAAUUGAAGAAAAUAAUACAUGUAUUAGCUAAAUGAAGCUCCCGUGGUUCAAACUUUAUAAAAAUCUUAAGGAAAGAAUUUAAUUCCGGUGAUUAAUUUUGGAUUAAAAUGGAAAAGAAAACAAAUAUGUUUUUCCUUCUUUUCAGCUUUGGAUGGCCAAACAAAAUGAGGAAGAUGAUAACUUCAUCUUUCUCUCCACUCUCUUAGUAUUUGUACUGAUCAAAAUUAUUGAACUAACAAAGUAGUGACUUGAUCAGUUUGAAUUUUGAAAACCUUCCAUAAAAGAACACAAGUGUCCAAACCCUAAUUCAAUUUUGAUGUCAACAUCAUCUCUCUACCAAGCUUCAAGAAAGUAGACAUCUUAUCGGUAUCAGGCAAGUUGUCUUUGAUUACAGGGAUUGAUUUGAAAUUUUGGAUCCACAAGCUCACUCGAGGGAACUUGUGUGGCUCAAAGAUUUCAAGCCCUACUACGUCUUCGAGAACCCCAAGCCAGUGAGCAACAAAGGAAAAUGCAAUGUCCACCAUGUUUAUCUCGUCUCCGCCAAAGAACUUUUUCACUCCAAUCAGCGCAUGUUCUUCCAUGACUUCCAACAUUUCCAACCACUCCUUCACUGCCGCCUGUUGUUCUUCGCCAUCGGCUUGAUAAAGCUUUGACAUUAAAUAACCCUGUUUUAAACAGAGAUAUGGGAUUUCUAGUAUCAGCCAUCAAAAGUUAUGUACGAUAAAAGAUUUUUAAAGAUUUCAACUAGGUUCAAAUAUGCUACAAAUCCUUGUAUUCUUUGUAUGUUUAAAAUUUAGUCCUCCUAUUUUUGUUUUAAGAAAUUUAAUUCCAUCACUUUUAAAUUUAAAAAGGGUUAAAUCACUUCACUGGGUUUGAACUUAGCAACUACUCCCACAUUGGAGCAUGGACUUUUUUUUUCAAAUUAGUCCUUAAACUUGACAAUUAUUCUCAUGGUAUGACCUGAUAAAAGCUACUUAUCAUUUAAUAAAGAAUAUUUUGGCCUAAUAAAAGCUACUUCUCAUUUAAUAAAGAAUAUUUUUAAUUAACUCAAUUUUAAUUUAUUUAUUUUAAUAUUAUGUUAUCCUAUAAAAACUUUAUGUUUAAAAUUUUAAUUAUGGUUUAGAAUAAGGUAAAAUGUUUAGAAAAUUAAGAAUAAAAUGUAAAAUAUAAUUUUUUAUAAUUCAAAAUCUAUAUUUAUCAAACAAUAUAAUUAUAUUCCCUAAUUAAUUUUAAGUAAUGUAUCAAGCAAAUUUUAUAACUUAAAAUUCGGUACUUAAAUUUUCAAUACUUAAUUUUUCAACCCUUAUUUUUUCUGCACUUAAUCUUUCAGUUUAUCAAAGAACACCUCAGUCCCUAUAUUUUCUUGAAAACCCUAAUAUUCAAGCCCCAACAUGGGAACAAUUGCCUAGUCCAAGCAAUAACAUGAGAACAAUUACCACGAUUAGGGACUAACUUGGAUAAAAAAAAGUUCAAGCCUUAAUGUUGGAACAACUACCUAAUUCAAGCCUUAACAUGUGACCCAAUGUGAGAAUUGUUGCCAAGUUUAGGCCUCAAAUAAUGAUUUAACCCAUUUAAAAAUGUAAAUAUAAUCGUAAACAUGAUUUUUUUUCCGGUUAAAUUGAAGUUCAUAACUUUUUUUUUGUUAUAUGACUACCAAAUGAAUAACUAUUUUUUUAUUUCAAAAUAUCACACCAAAAAAAUUAAUAAAAAAUUAACUGUAUUAACAAUUGAGUUCGGGUUUAGAGUAAAAAAAAUUACUAAUUUUAUAUGUCAAUGACAUGAAAAAAAUUAGUGAAAUAUUAUUAAAUAAUUAGAAAUAGACAAUAGAUAAUAUGGUGGGAAAGGUCCAUAAAAUAGUUUCUUCCAAUACAACACUUAAUAAAUGAUUUUGGCUAUAAAUAUAGAUAAAUAAAUAUAAAUAUAAAAAAUCAAUAAACGGGAAAAUCGUCAUAUGCAUCAAAUAAAUAAAUAAAAGGUUUAAUUGCAAAAUUAGUGUCUAAACUAUAUCAAUUUUCUCCUUUUAAGUACCUCAAAUUUUUGGUAAAAAUAUACUUAAACUAUUAAUUUUGUUACAUUUUGCCUAAAAAGUGCACGAUGGCAAUAAAACAUGCUACUGUAUUUUUGGUAAAAUAAGACAAAAUUAACCAUUUAAAAAUCAUUUUGCAAAGAAGAGAAAAAAAAAACUCUUAGGCACCUAAGUGAUAAAUACGAUAUAGUUGGAGGGUUAAUUUUGUACUUAAUCCAAAAAAGAAAAGAACAGAUUUUACCUUAUCGUCCGCAAAUUUGAUCCAAAACCGAGCAACAGCUCUGUCAUAGGGACCAGCCGGCAGCAAGAGAUUCUGCGGCCAAAUUUCAUCGAUAUAUUGAAGGAUGACGGUGGAUUCACAGAUCGGUUUUCCGUCAUGAACGAGCACCGGGACUUUCUUAUGAAUUGGAUUAUAUUGAAGAAGCAAAGGACUCUUGUUGCGGACAUCUUCUUCAAUAUAUUCGUAAGGUAUGCCUUUGAGUUUCAGAGCCCAAAUAACUCUGCAAGCGUACGGACUAAACCAAGCUCCGAACAAUUUCACGACCGCCAUGGUUUGGAGAUUAAUUCAGAGAUUCUGAGAGCGCUGAGUGCAAAUUUAUAAUAGGAUUACUGGUCAAAGAUUUGUCUAAGGUAACGAUGGUGUGUGUUUUUUUCAUGACAUAAUUCUAAAUUUCAACCUGAAUAUUUAUAUUUUUUAUCAAUUUGGCCCUCAUCUUUUUUUAACUAAGUGUGAGUUUGGAUGGGUGAUCGGGUGCGGUACGGUGUGUUUAACUUAAUUUUUGUCUCACGAUACAAUAUCGUUACAGUAUCUAAUCUCACCGUCAUAACUGUUUUUUGCACAAAUCGAAGCUAAACGCAUCACCCAUCCAAAUCCACCCUAAAUUCGGUUAUUAACCUUUUAAAAAAUAAUACUUUUUUUAACGAAAAUACUAUUUAAAACAUUAACUUUAAAUUAUUUAAGAAAUAUAUUAGUAGUUGGUUGAAUUGAUUAGGUAAUUAGUUCAUCGAUUUAAUAAGUUUGAUAAAGAUAUAACAAUAAAUUCAUAAAAAAAAAAGAAUAUUUAAGAAAUUCAGUUUAAGAGUCAAUUGAAUUGAUUUUUUAAUUAGUUCAAGAUGUGAUUUGUUAGGACUUUGCUUUCCUCUUAUAAUUCACCAAAAGGAUAAUUUAUCUUUGAUGUUUUAGCAAACGUAUCAUCAUGUCGAGGGAGCAUUUGAAUAUAAAAUCAAAUCGUGCUAAUGUGUUGAUAUGUAAAAAGUGAAAAAUAUUUUAGAAUUGUUUUAGAACUAACUAGUACUUAAAUUAUUCGAAAAUUCUAUUUUAUUAUAUAUUAUAUGUGUAUGUAUGCUAACAUAUAUAAUAAACAAAAAUAAAAUAAAAUAAAAUUGCUUCUUUUUUCAUGUUUCUUACUCGUUGAAUUUUGUAAUAAUCCAGUUUUUAGUAGUGUUGGAAAGUAAAAUAUUGACACUUCAUUUCUAUAAAUCAAAUCCGUAAAAUUCAUUAUUAAAUCACACCCAACAAUUUUGAGACCUUGAGAAUUUUUUUAUAAACUUUUGAAACUUGCAUGUUAAAUAGUUGUUCCAUCGUGUGGGAGACGGUCAAAGUGGUAAAGGCAAGGAGCAAGCUUGUGCUUGUGACAGCAACUUGGGGAAGAUGUCGGUAUGUUUCCUUGAAAUUUACACACUUACUCGUUUACUUAAUUGUCAGGUUGAAGUAAACUAGUUGGUGACUUCAAUUAAGUUGUCAAUAAAACAUGGUACUGUGUUUUUUGGUAAAAUAAGAUACAGUUUAAAUAUAGUUUGAGGGUUAUUUUUGUAUUUAAACCAAAAAAAAAAAGAUUUUACCUUGUCAUCAGCAAAUUUGAUACAAAACAGGGCAACGGCUCUCUCAUGGGGAUCACCCGGCAGCAAGGGAUUUUGCGGCCAAAUUUCAUCGAUAUAUCGAAGGAUGACGGUGGAUUCGCAGAUGGGUUUGUCGUCGUGAAGGAGUACCGGGAUCUUCUUAUGAAUUGGAUUAUAUUGAAGAAGCAAAGGACUCUUGUUGAAGAGAUCUUGUUCGAUGUAUUCGUAAGCCAUGCCUUUGAGUUUCAGAGCCCAAAUUACUCAGUAACAGUACGGACUAGGCCUAGCUCCGAACAGUUUCACGACCGCCAUGGUUGGGAGAUUAGUCGAUUUUCUGGUAGAUUCUGAGAGCGGUGAGUGUAAAUUUAUAAUAGGAUUAGCAGUCAAAGCUUUCAGUAAGGUAAAGAUGAAGUGUAAAUACAAGGAAUUAAAGAAAGUAUAUAGAAAUAAUUUUAUAUAAUAAUACAAGCUAUUAUCAUGCAUGAUGCAAUAUAAAGUAAUUUAAGAUGGAUGCCACUUGUCUCACCCCCAAUAUGUUACGUACAGUUAGAAAGAUAAAAUUCGAAGUUAAAAUUAAAUAUAUUAAAGAAUUUAUUAGCUUUGAAUUUCAUAUGAUGGUUUAGUUAAAAGUAUUCAUCACCCUAAGUGUGGGAUAGAGUUCGAGUCUCGUUUGUUGUUUGAAUUUUACUUUAUUAUUAUAAUUCACAAAAAAAAAAGAAGAAUAUAUCAACUUUCAAUGGAUUAUAUUUUGAAAACUUCUCGAAAAUAAAUUAGACCUCUCCUCAACAAAUUUAAAUAUAAAAAAGUAACUUCGAGUAAAAAGCAUAAAUACAUGUAAUUUUUUCAAAAAUAUAUAUAAUGCAAUGCCGCAUAUAGAGACAAUAAAAUAUUUUUUAUUUGGAAUAUUUUGAAUACUAUUUGGAAGUAAAUUGAAAACAAUUUGUUAAGUGAUCAAUUUGAUAAAAACUGAAGCAAGGAUUAAAUUGUAAAAUUUGUAAAAUUCUAAAUGUUAAAUGUUGAUUACUGAAAUCUAAAAAUUUAGUGUUGUACUAAAUUAUAUGAUUAUGAAAUAUGAAAAUUGAACGAUUGGGCAUAAAAUAGUAAAGUUUGAAAUUAUAGGGAUUAAAUUGUAAAGAUUCCAAAACACGAGUUUUAGAACUAAUUUAUGUGGGUUGAGAAUUUACAAUUCUAAAAAUAGAAUAUGAAAGUUUAAUGGUUCAAAAAUCCUGGACUAAUUUGUGGAAAAUUUGACAAGAUUUUAAUAGUAGGAAUUAAAUUAUAAAAUCUCAAAAUUUUGAAAAAAGAAAAAGAAAAAGAAGAGAGAGACUGUUUUGCAAAACUAGGCAAACUGGGAUUUAAGGCUGAAUUGAAAACAAAAUGACUUCCAGGGACUAAAUCGUAAAAUAGUGUAAAUUUAGGAGUUUGGGACUAAAUCGUAAAAAUUGUGUAACUAUAAUUUUAAGGGUUGUCUAGUAAAUUUGGAAAAAUAUAGGAGUGGAAAUGAGCAGAUUUGUUACAUAAGUGUUUAAAUGUAAUAUUUGAAAAUUUUACUAAAUUAAGUGUAUUAAACUAAAAUAAUUGAGUAAAAAAAAUGAAACUUGAAUUAUUAUAGAUUAGAUACAUUAAAGUGAAGAGAAUUAUAUUAUGAAGUAUAUCUUACAAAGAAUAUGGCUAAGGUUAUGGCGACAAGACUCACUGAGGUCUAAGUAUUUGAGGAUCAACCUUAUUCUGUGCAAUAUUUAGUACAAACAGACUAUAUUAGUGUUACAUGGGCUAAUGUGUUAUCUUAAUAGUGUCGUGUAAAGCUGUUUAUUUUACCAAAAGAAAAAUAGGAAAGGCAAAGUGUAGUUAGUAUUAGUACAUUUUGAGAAAGGAUUAAAUUUUGAAAUUCAUUAAAUUAAAUAUAUAAUUAAAAAUUAUAUUGCAAUAGGUAUGAGGUUCUGGUACAUGUGUUUCAAAGUUUCAAUACAUGAAUACUUCAAAGCUAAAAAUGAUUAGUAAUCUUGUAUUGGUUUUGAUACUAUGGAUGAGGUACUGAUGUCUUUGUUCUUAAAAUCGUAAAUUCGCCUGAAAAUACCCUGGAAAAAGGAUUUUGGUUUCUCUAAUUAAAAUUUUAAUAAUAUACAAUUUUAGAAAUAGAUUUAAUAUCAUAUGGAGUCUAGAUGACGUUAGAAAAGUAAGCAAGGGUUAGGGAUUGAAACUGAAAAUUUUAAUGUGACAUUCCUUGUCUGUAUCUUUUAACGAGUCAGGUAAGGGUUGUUAGAUCAUCGGAACAUUCGAAGUAUAGCAUGCAUUCCAUACCUCAUCAGUAUAAUCUUGUACACUAAUCUUAUAGCAUGCCAAAUAUACCCGAGUCAAUUACUAAGGUAACAAUAUUCCAAAAACAUAUUUAUAUUCAUGAUCUUUUACCAUAGUUUCAUAUAAUACUCAUUUAUGCCAUGCUCGUCUCAAUUAAAUUCAUAACAUUUCAUAUCAUUAUCUACAAACCAAAUCAUGAGACAUACUUACCUCAAGCAAGUUAGUUUUUAACCGUAUAUAUAUAUUGAAUUCAAAUCAUGAAAGUAAAAAUCGCAUUAGCUACUCGUCUACGACUUUCGCCUUUUCUUUCUCUCGAGACGGCUCGAUGUCGUCUUUAGCUAUGUUUGAUAAUUUAAUUAUAAAAAUAGUAUUAGUUUCACUCAAACUCAUGAAAAAUAUAUAAUCAAAUAUAUUUCCAUUUUAUUCAUUUUAGUCCUUAUAUCCAAAAUGUUCUUAUUUUUCGAUACUUAACAUAAAAGCAAAAUCUGAUUUCAUAUCCUUCCAUUAGUGACCUUGUAUUUUUAAUCUAUACCAUAAGUUUACAAUAGCUUUCGCUUUAUUCAAUUUUACCCCUAAUUUCACAAAAUUAUCUUUUAAGCUGAACUUAAUUUCCAAAUCCUUAACAUAAUCUAAACUUACUAAUUAACAAUCUCUUCAAAUUCAAGCUUAAAAUCAUCAAUUAAACUUUAAUGGAAACUUUCUGAACAUCUAACAAUUGAAGAAAAUAAUACAUGUGUUAGCUAAAUCAAACUCCCGUGGUUCAAACUUUAUAAAAAUCUUAAGGAAAGAACUUAAUUCCGGCGAUUAAUUUUGGAUUAAAAUGGAAAAGAAAACAAAGAUGUUUUUCCUUCUUCUUUUCAGCUUUGGACAGCCAAACAAAAUGAGGAAGAUGAUAACUUCAUUUUUCUCUCCACUCUCUUAGUAUUUAUACUAUGAUUAAGCCCUUAAUUAGCUUAAUUAAUCACCAUUAGUGGUCAAGCUAAUUAAGAUAAGUGGAUGUAAUCAUACCGUUCCACCAUCAUAUUUUAAAAAUUGUAAAUUAAUUCCAAGGUCCUCAAAUUAAUUAUUAAUUAAGUCCUCAAUCAUUUUUCUAAAUUAAAAUUUCAAUAGCGGUUGAACUUUUACAAAUUAGUCCCUGAACUUUAAUUAAUGAUUUUCUUGAUUAAAUUACUUAACCAUUCUUUAAUAUAUUUUCAUACUAACUUCAUAAACCUUUCUAUUCAUGAUUCCACUAACUCAAUUUACGGAAUUGGAUUUUAAAAUUGUAUUUUUUUUGACAAUGUUUAAAAUCAGGUCAUUACAAGUUAAUUAAAAGAAUAAAUAAUAUUUUGGGCAUAUGAAAGAUAUUUAUUGGGCUAAACAAACAUAUGAGUUAGUUUAAAGACAAGAUAACACAUAUAAUAGACUUAAUAAAUGAAAAAGCCCGAUAUAGGAGGAGGGGUGGCAAACUAGUAUGGACCCAUUGAAAUUUUUUUAUUUUGAUUUUGAUAAUUUAUUUAAACAAACUGAUCGAAAUUAUUGGACAAACAAAGCAGUGACUUGAUCAGUUCAAAGUUUGAAAACCUUCGAUAAAGAACUCAAGUUUCCAAACCCUAAUUCGAUUUUGAUGUCAACAUCAUCUCUCUACCACGCUUCAAGAAAGUAGACAUCUUAUCGGCAUCAGGCAAGUUGUCUUUGAUUAUAGGACUUGAUUUGAAAUUUUGGAUCCACGAGCUCACUCGAGGAAACUUGUGUGGCUUAAAGAUUUCAAGCCCUAGUACGUCUUCGAGAAUCCCAAGCCAGUGAGCAACAAAGGAAAAUGCAAUGUCCACCAUGUUUAUCUCGUCUCCGCCGAAGAACUUUUUCACUCCAAUCAGCGCAUGUUCUUCCAUGACUUCCAACAUUUCCAACCACUCCUUCACUGCCGCCUGUUGUUCUUCGCCAUCGCCUCGAUAAAGCUUUGACAUUAAAAGACCCUGUUUUAAACAGAGAUAUGAGAUUUCUAGUAUCAGCCAUCAAAAGUUAUGUACGAUAAAAGAUUUUCAAAGAUUUCAACUAGGUUAAAAUAUGCUACAAAUCCUUGUAUCCUUUGUAUGUUUAAAAUUUAGUCCUCCUAGCUAUUUUUGUUUUAAGAAAUUUAAUCCCAUUACUUUUAAAUUUAAAAAGGGUUAAAUCACUUCACGGGGUUUGAACCUAGCAACUACUCCCACAUUAGGGCAUGAACUUUUUUUUGGUUCAAAUUAGUCCUUAAACGUGACAAUGAUUCUCACGGUAUGGCCUGAUAAAAGCUACUUAUAACUUAAUAAAGAAUAUAUUUAAUUAACUCAAUUUUAAUUAAUUUAUUUUAAUAUUAUGUUUUCCUAUAAAAACCUUAUGUUUAAAAUUUUAAUUACGGUUUAGAAUAAGGUAAAAUGUUUAAAAUUAAGAAUAAAAUGUAAAAUAUAAUUUUUUAUAAUUCAAAAUUUAUAUUUAUCAAACAAUAUAAUUAUAUUCCGUAAUUAAUUUUAAGUAAUGUAUCAAACAAAAUUUUAUAACUUAAAUUCGGUACUUAAAAUUUCAAUACUCAAUUUUUCAACCCUUAUUUUUUCUGCACUUAAUCUUUUAGUUUAUCAAAGAACACCUUAGCCCCUAUGUUUUCUUGAAAACCCUUAUAUCCAAGCCCCAACAUAGGAACAAUUGCCUAGCCCAAGCACUAACAUGAGAACAAUUACCACGUUUAUGGACUAACUUGGAUAAAAAAGAGUUCAAGUCCCAAUGUGGGAACAAUUACCUAAUUCAAGCCUUAACAUGUGAUCCAAUGUGAGAAUUGUUACCAAGUUCAGGCCUCAAAUAAUGAUUUAACCCAUUUAAAAAUGUAAAUAUAAUCGUAAACAUGAAUUUUUUUGGUUAAAUUAAAGUUCAUACCUCAUUUUUUUUGUUAUAUGACUACCAAAUGAAUAACUAAUUUUUUUAUUUCAAAAUAUCACACAAAAAAAUUUUAAUAAAAAAAUUAACUGUGUUAACAAUUGAGUUCGGGUUUAGAGUGAAAAAUUACCAAUUUUAUAUGUCAAUGACAUGAAAAAAAUUACUGAAAUAUCAUUAAAUAAUUGGAAAUAGACAAUGGAUGAUGUAGUGGGAAGGGUUCAUAAAAUAGUUUCUCCCAAUACAACACUUAAUAAAUAGUUUUGGCUAUAAAUAUUGAUAAAUAAAUAUAAAUAUAAAAAAAUCAAUAAACGCGAAAAUCGUCAUAUGGAUCAAAUAAAUAAAUAAAUAAAAGGUUUAAUUGCAAAAUUAGUGUCUAAACUAUAUCAAUUUUCUCAUUUUAAGUACCCAAAAUUUUCGGUAAAAAUAUACUUAAACUAUUAAUUUUGUUACAUUUUACCUAAAAAGUGCAAGAUGGCAAUAAAACAUGCUACUGUAUUUUUGGCAAAAUAAGACAAAAUUAACCAUUUAAAAAUCAUUUUGCAAAGAAGAGAAAACAAACAUAACUGUUAGACACCUAAAUGAGAAAUACGAUAUAGUUGGAGGGUUAAUGUUGUAUUUAAUCCAAAAAAGAAAAGAACAGAUUUUACCUUGUCAUCUGCAAAUUUGAUCCAAAACAGAGCAGCAGCUCUGUCAUAGGGAUCAGCCGGCAGCAAAGGAUUCUGCGGCCAAAUUUCAUCGAUAUAUUGAAGGAUAACGGUGGAUUCACAGAUCGGUUUUCCACCAUGAACGAGCACCGGGACUUGCUUAUGAAUUGGAUUAUAUUGAAGAAGCGAAGGACUCUUGUUGAGGAGAUCUUCUUCAAUAUAUUCGUACAGUAUGCCUUUGAGUUUUAGAGCCCAAAUUACUCUGUAACCGUACGGACUAAACCAAGUUCCGAGCAAUUUUACGACCGCCAUGAUUGGGAGGUUAGUUCAGAGAUUCUGAGAGCGCUGAGUGCAAAUUUAUAAUAGGAUUACUGGUCAAAGAUUUGUCUAAAAAUUUCAUGAUAUAAAAAAAGAGAAAUUGACAAAAAUUGUAGGCCCUAAAAGUUGGAAUCUGUCACUAAGACUUUUAUACGAAGAUGAAGUAUUAUAAAAGAUUUUUAUAUAAUAAUAUAAGGUAAUGUCAUGCAUGAUGCAAUAUAAGGUAAGGUAGUCCAACCGAACAAUCCAAUCCUAUUUAAACACAAGUAAAAACCCCAUAUAUAAUUUUAAACCCAUAUAUAAUUGAAUAUAUAUGUUUUCUUUUAUAAUUAAGGUAUCAUAUAUAUUUAUUUUAUCCGUGUGUUGAUUUGAUGAUCAGGGUGUUCAUCGUCUCAGAUGUGAUUUGGUUUCAAGUCACGCUAAUCGCGUUGCUGUUAGGACUUUACUCUCCUCUUAUAAUUCACUGAAAAGGAUAAUUUAUCUUUGACGUUUUAGCAAGCGUGUCAUCAUGUCUAGGGAGCAUUUGACUAUAAAAUCAAACCGUGCUAAUGUGUCGAUAUGUAAAAAGUGAAAAAUAUUUUAGAGUUGUUUUAGAACUAACUACUACUUAAAUUAAUCGAAAAUUCUAUUUUAUUAUAUAUUAUAUGUGUAUGUAUGCUAACAUAUAUAAUAAACAAAAAUAAAAUAAGAUGACUUCUUUUUUCAUGUUUCCUACUCGUUGAAUUCUGUAAUAAUUCUGUAACAUAUCCAAAAUGAGUUCUGUUGUUUUCAUAAUAUAUUUUGUCUGACAUAUGAAGAAAUGAUUGUCUAAAAUGGCUGCUGUUUCCAGAACUUUUUAUAUCUGACAUUUAAGAAAUGGUUGUCCAAAACGGCCGUUGUUUUCAUAAUUUAUUAUGUCCGACAUAUGAAGAAAUUGUUGCCUAAAAUGGCUGUUGUUGGGUUAUGGUUGUCGACACCAUUUUUUGAUAAAACGGAGUUGACUUGGAUAUUAAAAAUGAAAACGAAUAUAGAAGUUGUCACCAAUCUUUUUUGAUGAUGUGUGAUCGGGUCAAUUCAAAAAGUGGUUGUUUUUAAUAAACCAUUCGGUUUUAUUAAAACAACGAUUUUGGUUCAUGAAAUUCAGAAAAAUGGGUUCGGAAGUCGGUUACGUACGAGGAAGGAUUAGCACCCUCGUAACGCCCAAAAAUUGGUACCUAGUUGAUUAAUUAGUGUUGUCCAAAAUGACUGUUGUUUUCAGAAAUGAUUGUCUAAAAUGGCUGCUGUUUCCAGAACUUAUUACGUCUGACAUUUAAGAAAUGGUUGUCCAAAACGAACGUUGUUUUCAUAAUUUAUUAUGUCUAACAUAUGAAGAAAUGGUUGUCUAAAAUGUAUGUGGUUUUCAUAAUUCAUUUCUUUCUUGAAUGGUUGGUUGUAUUCUUAUGUUGGUAAGUGAAGUGAAUAAAAUUCGAUUUAAUUUUAAAAAUUUGAUAAAAAUUUUAAAAUUUAAAUUAAAUAGUUUGAAUUAUUCGAGUUAUUUGGAUCAACUCGAAUAAAAAAUUAUUAUUUUUGGUUUAAUUCGAAUAUGAACUCGAAUAUGAAUUACAAUAUUUGAGUUAUCUGAAAAUCUAAAUAAAAAAUACAAAAUUACGUCGUUUUGAUAAAUAUUUACUUUCUCUAAAGUUAAAAGGCAAAAUUACGUUGUUUUGCUAAAUAUUUACUCAUCAGCCUUAUUUUCUUUCUCGAAUCCCCCCACUUUCCCUUUUUUCUUUACUCAAAAUUAACCUAAAAGUUUGUAAUUCGUCUACUACUUAAAUAAUUAGUCUAUGUAAAUGCAAUAUUGAAUAUAAAUAAUAGGAUUCGUUAACUCAACUCAACUUGGCUCGAAAUUUUUUUACUCGAUUCAACUCAAUUUUAAAAAAAUACAAAUUGAAUUCGGUUUCUAAAAUAGUAUUCAUCAAUUUGACUAACUUAAUUUUUUUUUCACCCCGGCAAGUGUGAUGAAAAUUGAGGGGAAAUUGAGGGAAAAGUUUUGAUGGUUGUCAGUUGUUGAGUGAGCUGUCGUGACAUGCAAAACCCAUGCAUGUUGUCCUAAUAUGACUUAUUGUUAUGAAAAUAAUGUCCUGCUGGAGUUGAUUAAAUAUUAAUGUCCUAUGCUGCAAUUAAAAGAUAUCAUAGUGCUGUAUCAUAUUUAAAAUGUAAGUAUUUAUGUUGUCUUAAAACAUUAUCUGUAUGGAUUAAUUACUGUAAUUUAAACCGUCUUAAUAAUGAAAUUGUGAUAUCUUAAAGCAGUAAAUUGUGGUUAAAAUGUAUAAAUCUGGGAGUAAAUCGAGUUUUAUUUGUGGAAUGACAUGUUGUAACAACCCAAUUUUGGGUCUAGUCGGAACAGUGGUUUCGGGACCACAAAUCCGACGAGGAAAAAUGUAAUUGCCUGAAUUUUCAGGGGUGUCAGAACAGUGAUUCGAGAUCACUAAAUCCGACAACUGAGUAGAAAAUAUUAUUAAUUUAGUGAGUAUAAGUUAAAUGUGAAGUUAAGAAAAUUUUUGAAAUAGUGAAUAGUGCACUAGAAAUAAAUAUUAAAAUAGUUAGAAUAAAAAACGAGGUAUCGAGACCUCAAAGAUUUUAAACCGAGCCAUAAAUAUUUUUAUAAAUAUUUAUGGAGUGUUAAAAAGUUAGUAUUAAAGUUUCAAUAAUUAAUUGAACAAAAAGGACUAAAUUGUAACAAAUGCAAAAUUCUGGGAAAUGAUUAAAUAGCUUAAAUGAUAAAAGGAAGAGGACUUAAAAGGAAAAUAGACCCAAUGUCUAUUUGGGCUGGACGGCAAAGGCAUGAAAUCAGCAAGAAAGUAAGGAGAAUUAAGGGCAAAAUUGGAAUAUUGUAAAAUUACUUAAUAAAGCUAGGAUCAAAGUGGAAUUAUCUAGAUUUCUCUUUAUUUUUCUGCAUUCUAAUCAGCUAAAACACCAUAGAAGGGUUUCCUUAAGAUGGUGCUUCAUAUUUUUACUGCAAGUAAGUUCAAUUCUUGAUUAUUUCUUGAAAUUGUUGUGCUUUUGUGACUUUUACAACUAGGCCCACUUGUUGAAUUCAUUAGUUUUUGAUUCUAUGAAAGAAGUUGAAAGUUGCUAUGAAUAUGUGCUGGAAGUAUAUGAUGAUUUAGCAUGGAAUUAGAGCUUUAAAUUGUUUAUAUGCUAAUUUUAUUGAAAGAAAUGAAUAGAAAGUCAAUGUUUGGGACCUAAUAGUAAAAGAGUUUGAAGUUAGGGUUUUAUGAGGAAAUUUUGAAUUUCAAUAGUUAUGAAUAACUUAUAAGGUCUAGGUAAAGUACUAAUUGAGAAAAAUUACCUUAAUUGAGGGGUUAAUUGAGCAAGGACUGAAUUGUAUGAACUGUGAAAUUUAGGGCAAAAUAGAAAUUAACAUUUUGCACUAAAACAGUUUUGGAUAGCAACAGUAGUUUAAAUUUCAAAAAUCACCAAAAAUUAUGGGAAUCGAAUUAGAGAAUGAAUAAAACAUGAAAUUAAAGCUUAUUGAGUCUAGUUUCUCAUAGAAGAAACGGUGUAAGCAAUAGAAUUGUAAAUUAUGAGAUAUAAUAAAUUUUGUGAUACAAGGUCAGAAAGAUUUCGGGUUCCCCUGUUCUGACUUUGGAAAAUCAUCAAAAAUUGAAUAAAAAUAAUUAGGGGCUUAAAUUUAUAUAUUUAAAAUCAUGAAUAAGUCUAUUUUCAAGAGAAACAAAUAGAAACAUCAUUCAAGUCUCGUACAAGGAGAUAAUUAAUUUUUAGUGAAGAAGGAUCGAAAUUGUUUAAUAGUGAAAUAGGAGAGACUUUAAAGGCUAAGCCAAAAAUUCUAAAAAUUUUAUGUUAAAAAGAUAUAUGAGUCUAGUUUCCGGAAAAAUUAACAGAUCUUAAUUUAAAGCUUCGUAACUCGAGAUAUAAAUAAUUUAGUGACUCUAACUCGGAUAGACAGCUUUGAAUUUACUUAUAAGUAAAUAGUGAAAAUAUAGUUAAUGUUAUUAAGCAUGUUAUAUACAUUAAGGAUGUGGAAUGAAAAGGAGGAGGAGGAAAAUUAGAAAAUAUAUGAAUGACUUGUGCAUAAAUCGGUCAUAUAUUCGAUCAUAAUCGAUAAAUGUUGAAUUAGAAACGAUGUAAUGUUUUAUUUCAAAUAGUUACUGUGAGAUUGAUGAUAUCUGAUUUUAGCUAAAUUAAAAGCUAAAGCGAUGUUUUCAUUGAAAAAUUAAGAAUUUCAUAAAUGUGUUAAUGAAUGGCAUAAUCGAUAAACGUUGAGUUAAAUGGUAAAUACGUAUUAGUAUUGAACUUAAUGAUAUUGAAUUGUAUGAGAAGUAAAUGGAAAUUUCUAUUGCUAGUGAUAUGAUUUGAAUUAAAAAAAUUAUUGCGAUAUUGAAAUGUAUAUUGGAUUGAGAAAUUGAUUUGAAUUGUGAACAUGAUAAAUUAUGAAUUGAAUGAAAUGGAAAUGAAGCAUUGAAUUGUUAAGACUUGUGAAUUGCAUGAAUAUAAAUCGAAUCCCGUAGGCCCUAUUUAUUAUGAAUAUAAUAUUUAGAGGAUAUAUUGUGAAGAAUUAUAAAAGCAUGUUAAAAUUUUGAAAGUUUUAAUUUAGAAGAAAUUUUAUAAUAUGAUUAAAUAAGUUUACAAAGAUGGAGUAUUAUGAAAGAUUUUAUAUAGUAAUAUAAGGUAAUGUCAUGCAUGAUGCAAUAUAAGGUAAGGUAGUGUCAUGCAUGAUGCAUCUUUAUUAAUUUUUUUUUAAUUUGAAUAAAUGUUUUUAGAAAUAAAUUAGUGGUUGGUUGAAUUGAUUAGGCCAUUAGUUUGUCGAUUUGAUAAGUUCGAUAAAGAUAUAAUAAUAAAUUCAUAAAAAAGAAUAUUUAAGAAAUCUAGUUCAACUGUCAAUUUAAUUGAUUUUUUAACUGGUUCAAUCGAUUUGAUGUUUUUUUCGAAUCUAUAUUUCGACCUGUUUCUAGUCCAACCGAACAAUCCAAUCCUAUUUAAACACAAGUAAAAACCCCAUAUAUAAUUGAAUAUAUAUGUUUUUUUAUAAUUAAGGUAUCAUAUAUAUUUAUUUUACCCGUGUGUUGAUUUGAUGAUCAGGGUGUUCAUCGUCUCAGAUAUGAUUUGGUUUCAAGUCACGCUAAUCGCGUUGCUGCUAGGACUUUACUCUCCUCUUAUAAUUCACUAAAAAAGAUAAUUUAUCUUUGACGUUUUAGCAAACGUGUCAUCAUGUCUAGGGAACAUUUGACCAUAAAAUCAAACCGUGUUGAUAUGUAAUAAGUGAAAAAUAUUUUAGAAUUGUUUUAGAACUAACUACUAAAAUUAUGCGAAAAUUCUAUUUUAUUAUAUAUUAUAUGUGUAUGUACGCUAACAAAUAUAAUAAACAAAAAUAAAAUAAAAUAAGAUGACUUCUUUUUUCAUGUUUCUUACUCGUUGAAUUAUGUAAUAAUUCAGUUUUUUGUAGUGCCGGAAAGUGAAAUAUCGACACUUUAUUUUCGUAAAUCAAAUUCGUAAAAAUUAUUAUUAAAUCACACCCAACAAUUUUGAGACCUUGAGAAUUUUUUUUUGAACUUUUGAAAUUUGCAUGUUAAAUAGUUGUUUCUUCAUGUGGGAGACGGUCAAAGUGGUAAAGGCAAGGAGCAAGGUUGUGCUUGUGACGGCAACUUGGGGAAGAUUUGGGUAAGUUUCCUUGAAAUUUACAGACUUAAUUGCCAGGUUGAAGUAAGCUAGUUGGUGACUUCAAUUAAGUUGUCUGAAUUUUAUGAAUAAACUGUGAAUUAGCUGCUGUUGAUUUUCGGUAUGUAGCAAAUCAAACGUGUUGGAAAUUUGAAGAAAUGGUUGUCCAAAAGGACUGUUGUUUUCAUAAUAUAUUUUGUCUGACAUAUGAAGAAAUGAUUGUCUAAAAUGGCUGCUGUUUCCAGAACUUAUUAUGUCUGACAUUUAAGAAAUGGUUGUCCAAAACGACUUCGUAAUUUAUUAUUUCUGACAUAUGAAGAAAUGGUUGUCUAAAAUGGCUGUUGUUCGGUUAUGGUGCGGGUUUAAUUCAUUUCUUUCUUGAAUGGUUGGUUGUAUUCUUAUUUUGGUAAGUAGGUGAAUAAAAUUUGAUUCGACUUUAAAAAUUUAAUAAAAAAUUUAAAAUUUAAAUUAAAUAGUUCGAAUUAAUCGAGUUAUUUGGAUCAACUCGAAUAAAAAAUCAAAUUUUUUGGUUUAAUUCGAAUAUGAACUCGAAUAUGAAUUACACAAUUCGAAUUAUUUGAAAAUCUAAAUAAAAAAUACAAAAUUACAUCAUUUUGAUAAAUAUUUACUUCGUCUAAAGUUAAAAGGCAAAAUUAAGUUGUUUUAAUAAAUAUUUACCCAUCAGCCUUAUUUUCUUUCUCGAAUCCCCCCACUUUCCCUUUUUUCUUUACUAAAAAUUAACCUAAAAGUUUAUAAUUCGUCUACUAGUUAAAUAAUCAGUCUAUGUAAACGCAAUAUUGAAUAUAAAUAAUAAGAUUCGUUAACUCGACUCAACUUGACUCGAAAUUUUUUUACUCGAUUCGACAAAAUUUAAAAAAAUACAAAUUAAACUCGGUUGCUAAAAUAAUGCCCACCUCUACUGGUAAGUGUGAUGAAAAUUGAGAGAAAAGUUUUGAUGAUUGUUGUAAUACCCAAUUUUGCCCCGGGCCUGUUAAAAUAAUACAAAAACCAAAAUAUAAAUAAAGUCCAAAUAUUAGACAGUCCAUUGACAUAGUCCAAUUAAUUACACCAGCCCAUAUAGCCCAAUAACCAAAAAAAAGCCCAAAGCUUCGACCCAAAUACAAUUGUUAACCCAAUUCCAGAAACCAUCCCGCCUUCCUCGCACGCCGCCAGCAGCCUCUCACCAUAGCCACCCGCGUGCGUGCGCCCCUAGUUGUACCUGCAACUAGGGGGUGUGCAAAAUUCGUGUAAAAUCGAAAAAAAUUCAGUUAACCGACUGAAUUCGAUUAAUUGGUCGGUUAACCGAAUUUUUUUGGUCGAGGGUCGGUUAAUUAUUUUUUAAUUUUUUGGUUAACGGUUAAUUCGGUUCGAAACUAGUCGAUUAACCGAAUUUUUUCGGUUUAAGUAAAAAAAUUAAUAAAUAAAAUUAUAAUAUAUAAAUAGGCCCACUAUUCACCUAAACCCAAUCCAAACCCAAGUAUUCAAUCCAACCCAAUUACCCAACUCAACCCAAUCAUAAAAAUUACAAAUAAUUUAAUAAAUAAAAAUAAAAUUCUAAAACUAAAACUAAAACUAAAGUCUAAAAGUCUAAAUAUAAUUUAAUUAUGUAGUGAUUCAAUUCGGUUAAUUCUGGUAAUUCGGUUAAUUUUUAACCAAAAAUAAAAAACAUAUAAUUUUCGGUUAAUUCAGAUAACCGACCGAAUUAACUGAAAAAUUUCGGUUCGGUUAAUUUUUUUGAAAAAUUUUCGGUUCGGUUAACGGUUAAAAAUUUUGAAAGGUCGAUUAAUUCGGUUAAUAUUAUUUCGGGUCGGUUAACCGAACAAACACCCCUACCUGCAACAGCAAACAGCAAACAAUACCAACAAAGCAGUAACAGCAAAAUAGAAUAACAGAAAAGGGAAUAAUAGAAUAUAGGAAAUGUAUUUCUUUGUUUAUUUUUAUUUUAUUAUUAUUUUUCUAUUUCAUUUUUCGGCUAUAAAAGAGCCGAUUCAAGCACUGUAAAAGGAGACGCAUUCAAAGAAAAAGAAACAGAAUCAUCAAAAAAAGAAGAAUAGAGUUUUUUUUUUUCUGAAGGUUUUUUUUUUCGAUUUCAAUUUAUUUUCCUUGUUUCAUUUGAUUGGCUUUGAUUAUAAGCUAAAAGAGGAAGAGAAGAAGCGUCUUACCAGAGCGGGCGCCAUUGGAACCUGGUUUGCUCCGUCUGAAUCAGAGUCAAAUCGGGUUCGUGACUGGAGACCGACGGGGAGAAAGGCUAGGUUGUUGGUAUGUUUUAGGAUAGCAAAACAACUUAUCAAGGUUUUAGUUUUUAGUUUUUUAAAGAUAAUAAAACAGUGCCGUUUAAGCCUGAUUUGAUGGCUUCAAAACGACACCGUGUUGACUAACACCCGAUGACCCGACCCGAACGAGGUGGGAUCCGCGCGUUUUGAGUCUGUUGGGAUUUUUGCGCAUCAGAUCCCUCUGUUUUGCGUUUUGGUUCAAUCUAAUCCUUUUGUUUUUUUAAUUUUGGCCACCUAUUUCUUUGUAAAUGCCAUUUGGUCCGCGAUGAAACGCCACGUUUUGGGGGAUGGGAUAUUUUCUCGUUUAAUCCCUAUGUAAUUCACGCAUUUUUCUUUGGCCCUCACUGAUAUAGUAUUUUCAUUUUUCUCUCUUAAUUUUGUAUUAAAUACAUUUUAGCCCACAUUUGUUUAGUCUAAAAAUGUAUUAAUUAUUUAAAUUUGUUAUGGAUUAUUAUUUUAAGUUAGUCAUGUAUAUUUUAAUUUAUUAUGAAUAUUUUAAAUGUAUCAUACAUCAUUAUUUUUAAAUCUAUUAUGUAUGCAUAUUUUAAUUGUAUUAUGUAUAAUUAUUUUAAAAUUCAUAUUUAUAUUAUUAUUUUCUUAAUGUUAUUAUAGUAUCAUAAGUUUAGCAUGUACCAUUAUUUUAAGUUUUUAUAUUACUAUUUACUUUAGUCAUGAAUAUUUUUUUGUAUUUUAAUUCAAUAAAAUCUAUACCAAAUUGAUUUCAUUUUUAGUUCUUUCAUAUACUUUUAUCUUUAAAUUUGUAUGGUAACAUUCUAUAAUGUAAUUUCAUAUAUAUAUACAUACAAUUUAUAUUAAAUUAUUAUUUUUGUAUACAUAUAUAUAGUAUAUUAUUUAAUUUUGGAACUGUAUAUUUCUAUAUAUACAUAGAUAUUUUAUUUCUUCCUAAUAUAUUUAGUUUAUUUCACAUUUUUGUAUAUUUGUAUAUUAUCACUUGCAUGAAAUUCCAAACCCUAUGUAUUAUUUAUUUAAAAAUUAAUAUAUAUUUUUUUAUGCUUUAUUUUUCCCUUGUGUAAAAUUUGCUUCAAAAUUCAUCUAAACACCAUUAGUUAAUGUUUUUUGCAAAUUUGUUUUAAACUUAUGUAUAUGUUUUUAAUUUUUGAAUGUAUAUUGAUUGCAAUUUGUUCUUUUGUACAUUUAGCAAAUAAAUUGACAAUUCAUUUGGUUUUGGAAUAUUGAUUUUAUUAGCGUUCGCAUAAUAUGUGAUUGUGAUUAUUGUUGCUAUGUGAAUUAUUGGGUUUGUCUUUAUUUACUGUUUAUUUGAUUAGUGUAAGUUUAUUUACAAAUUGUCUUUUUUUUUUUUGGCGUUGUACAUAAACAUUAAAUUAUACUACAUUUGUUUUAAAAAUUGUGUUUCAUUAGAGCACUAAAAUCAUUCUAUUCCGUGAAUUUUAAAAAAUGCUCGGUGUUCACGAUUCUCGAGAGGAUUGUGCCCUAACUUACUGGGCUUCAAUUCUUUUCUAUGAAUUUAGAUAGCCAAGUAUUUAUUUUGCAAUAAAACCAUACAAUUUCAAAAUAAAGUUUUUCUGGGAUUUCAAAAUGUUGAAUCCUAACUCAUUGGAUAUGACAUUUUGCUACCUCGAAUUAAGGAUUUUUAAAAUAAAGGCAAUAUUCGGUGUUUAGGAAUUUCGAGAAAUUGAAUCCUAACUUACUGGGUUCUGAUUUUUUUCGUUUGACCCAAAUAGCCAAAUAUCCUUCUCAAAAUGCACAAGUUUUUAAAGUUAAAAAGAUAAACUUAAUUUUGAAGAUUAAAAAUGUUGCAUUCUAACUCACUGAGUGUGACAAUUUAUUUCUUUGAAAUGAGUGUGUCUUAUCAUUCAAUUCGUUUUAUUCAAAUUUUCUUUUCAAAGGAUCGUAUUUUAAAAUCUUUUUAAAUUUUCAACACUAAGAUAUCAAAUAAUCAAUUCGGUACCAAUUUUGGGCGUUACGAGGGUGCUAACCCUUCCCCAUGCGUAACCAACUCCCAAACCUGUUUUCUCAAAUUUCGAAGACCAAAAUCGUUUUUAAUGUGAGCUGAUCACACCUCAAUAAAGGAUUGGUGGCGACUCCAAUUUUCGUUUCUAAGUCAACAACUAAAUUUUGUUUUCAAAAAGUGGUUUUGACAAUUGUCAGUUGUUGAGUGAGCUGUCGUGACAUGCAAAACCCAUGCAUGUAGUCCGAAUAAGACUUACUGUUAUGAAAAUAAUGUCCUGCUGGAGUUGAUUAAAUAUGAAUGUCCUAUGCUGCAAUUAAAAGAUGUCAUAGUGUUGUAUCGUGUUUAAAAUGUGAGUAUUUAUGUUGUCUUAAAACAUUAUCUGUGUGGAUUAAUUACUGUAAUUUAAACCGUCUUAAUAAUGAAAUUGUGAUAUCUUAAAGCAGUAAAUUGUGGUUAAAAUGUAUAACUCUGGGAGUAAAUCGAGUUUUAUUUGUGGAAUGACAUGUUAUUUUAGAAGUACAAAUUGAGUGUCGCUAAUGGUGAGUUCUUUCAGUUUUUAUCGAUUUAUGUGUAAUGUUUAAUUCAAUUUUUGAGUUUACAGGUCGGGAAUUUGAAGAUGAUUAUGUGACAACCAGUUGAUAUGAUUACAAAUGUGAUAUGAAAAGAUUAUAUUCAUAAUAUAAGUUGACAUAUUAAACUGCCUACGAACUUUUGAUUUUUAUUUAUGUCCUCACAUAAUUUACAUAAUAAACCAGAUUUUACCUUGUCGUCUGCAAAUUUGAUCCAAAACAGAGCAACAGCUCUGUCAUAGGGAUCAGCCGGCAGCAAGGGAUUCUGCGACCAAAUUUCAUCGAUAUAUUGAAGGAUGACGGUGGAUUCACAGAUCGGUUUUCCGUCAUGAACGAGCACCGGGACUUUCUCAUGAAUUGGAUUAUAUUGAAGAAGCAAAGGACUCUUGUUGCGGAGAUCUUCGUCAAUAUAUUCGUAAGGUAUGCCUUUGAGUUUCAGAGCCCAAAUUACUCUGUAACCGUACGGGCUAAAGAAAGCUCCGAACAAUUUCACGACCACCAUGGUUGGGAGAUUAGGUCAGAGAUUUUGAGAGCGCUGAGUGCAAAUUUAUAAUAGGAUUACUGGUCAAAGAUUUGCCUAAGGUUUAUAAUAGGAUUACUGGUCAAAGAUUUGUAGACAAAAGAGAAAUCGACAAAAAUUGUAGACCCUAAAAGUUAGAAUUUGUCACUAAGACUUUUUUAUAUAAAAGAUUUUAUAUAAUAAUAUAAGGUAAUGUGAUGCAUGAUGCAUCUUUAUUAAUUGUUUUUUUAAUUUGAAUAAAUGUUUUUAGAAAUAAAUUAGUGGUUGGUUGAAUUGGUUAGGUCAUUAGUUCGUCGAUUUGAUAAGUUCAAUAAAGAUAUAAUAAUAAAUUCAUAAAAAAAAUUAUGAAAUACAGUUCAACCGUCAAUUUAAUUGAUUUUUUAACCGGUUCAAUCGAUUCGAUGUUUUUUUUCGAAUCUAUAUUUCGACCUGUUUCCAGUUCAACCGAACAAUCCAAUCAUAUAUAAACACAAGUAAACACCCCAUAUAAAAUUGAAUAUAUAUGUUUUUUUUAUAAUUAAGGUAUCAUAUAUAUUUAUUUUACCUGUGUGUUGAUUUGAUGAUUAGGGUGUUCACCGUCUCAAAUGUGAUAUUGGUUCAAGCCACGCUAAUCGUGUUGCUGUUAGGACUUUGCUCUCCUCUAAAUCACACCCAACAAUUUUGAGACCUUGAGAAUGUUUUUUUUUUACUUUAGAAAUUUGCAUGUCAAAUAGUUGUUUCUUCAUGUGGAAGACGGUCAAAGUGGUAAAGGGAAGGAGCAAGCUUGUGCUUGCGACAGCAACUUGGGGAAGAUUUCGUUAAGUUUCCUUGAAAUCUACACACUGACUCGUUUACUUAAUUGCCAGAUUGAAGUAAACUGGUUGCUGACUUCAAUUAAGUUAUCUGAAUUUUAUGAAUAAACUGUGAAUUAGCUGCUGUUGGAAAUUUGAAGAAAUGGUUGUCCAAAAUCACUGUUGUUUUCAUCUGACAUAUGAAGAAAUGAUUGUCUAAAAUGGCUGCUGUUUCCAGAACUUAUUAUAUCUGAUAUUUAAGAAAUGGUUGUCCAAAAUAACCCUUUUUUUUCAUAAUUUAUAUUUUCAUACUAACUUCAUAAACCUUUCUAUUCAUGAUUCCACUAACUCAAUUUACGGAAUUGGAUUUUAAAAUUGUAUUUUUUUCGACAAUGUUUAAAAUCGGGUCAUUACAAGUAAAUUAAAAGAAUAAAUAAUAUUUUGGGCAAAUGAAAGAUAUUUAUUGUGCUAAAAAACUAUAUUAGUUAGUUUAGAGACAAGAUAACACAUAUAAUUGACUUAAUAAAUGAAAAGGCCGAUAUAGGAGGGAGGGGCGGCAAACUAGUAUGGACCCAUUGAAUUUUUUUAUUUUUAUUUUGAUAAUUUAUUUAAACAAACUGAUCGAAAUUAUUGGACUAACAAAGCAGUGACUUGAUCAGUUCGAACUUUGAAAACCUUCAAUAAAGAACACAAGUGUCCAAACCCUAAUUCGAUUUUGAUGUCAACAUCAUCUCUCUACCAUGCUUCAAGAAAGUAGACAUCUUAUCGGUAUCAGGAAAGUUGUCUUUGAUUACAGGGAUUGAUUUGAAAUUUUGGAUCCACGAGCUCACUCGAGGGAACUUGUGUGGCUCACAGAUUUCAAGCCCUAGUAUGUCUUCGAGAACCCCAAGCCAGAUAGCAACAAAGGAAAAUGCAAUGUCCACCAUGUUUAUCUCGUCUCCGCCGAAUAACUUUUUCACUCCGAUCAGCGCAUGUUCUUCCAUGACUUCCAACAUUUCCAACCACUCUUUCACUGCUGCCUGUUGUUCUUCGCCAUUGGCUCGAUAAAGCUUUAACAUUAAAUAACCCUGUUUUAAACAGAGAUAUGGGAUUUCUAGUAUGAGGCAUCAAAAGUUAUGUACAAUAAAAGAUUUUCAAAGAUUUCAACUAGGUUAAAAUAUGCUACAAAUCCUUUUAUUCUUUGUAUGUUUAAAAUUUAGUCCUCCUAUUUUUGUUUUAAGAAAUUUAAUCCCAUUACUUUUAAAUUUAAAAAGGGUUAAAUCACUUCACGGGGUUUGAACUUAGCAAGUACUCCCACAUUAGGGCAUGAACUUUUUUUUUGUUCAAAUUAGUCCUUAAACUUGACAAUUAUUCUCACGGUAUGGCCUGAUAAAAGUUACUUAUCACUUAAUAAAUAAUAUUUUUAAUUAACUCAAUUUUAAUUUAUUUAUUUUAAUAUUACGUUAUCCUAUAAAAACCUUAUGUUUAAAAUUUUAAUUAUGGUUUAGAAUAAGGUAAAAUGUUUAAAAAAUAAGAAUAAAAUGUAAAAUAUAUUUUUUUUAUAAUUCAAGAUCUAUAUUUAUCAAACAAUAUAAUUAUAUUCCGUAAUUAAUUUUAAGUAAUGUAUCAAACAAAUUUUAUAACUUAAAUUCGGCACGUAAAUUUUCAAUACUUAAUUUUUCAACCCUUAUUUUUUCUGCACUUUAUCUUUUAGUUUAUCAAAGAACACCUUAGUCCCUAUAUUUUCUUGAAAACCCUAAUAAGCCCCAACAUCGGAACAAUUGCCUAGUCCAAGCACUAGCAUGAGAACAAUUACCACAUUUAGGGACUAACUUGGACAAAAAAAAGUUCAAGCCUCAAUGUAGGAACAAUUACCUAAUUCAAGCCUUAACAUGUGACCCAAUAUGAGAAUUGUUGCCAAGUUCAGGCCUCAAAUAAUGAUUUAACCCAUUUAAAAAUGUAAAUAUAAUCGUAAACAUGAUUUUUUUGGAUUAAAUUCAAGUUCAUAACUCAUUUUUUUCGUUAUAUGACUACCAAAUGAAUAACUAUUUUUUUUAUUUCAAAAUAUCAUACCAAAAAAUUUAAUAAAAAAAUUAACUGUGUUAACAAUUGAGUUCGGGUUUAGAGUAAAAAAAUUACCAAUUUUAUAUGUCAAUGACAUGAAAAAAUUACUAAAAAUAUUAUUAAAUAAUUAGAAAUAGACAAUAGAUGAGGUGGUGGGAAAGGUCCAUAAAAUAGUUUCUCCCAAUACAACAUUUAAUAAAUAAUUUUGGCUAUAAAUAUAAAUAUAAAAAAUCAAUAAACGGGAAAAUCGUCAUAUGCAUCAAAUAAAUAAAUAAAAGGUUUAAUUGCAAAAUUAGUGUCUAAACUAUAUCAAUUUUCUCAUUUUAAGUACCUAAAAGUUUUGGUAAAAAUAUUCUUAAACUAUUAAUUUUAUUACAUUUUACCUAAAAAGUGCACGAUGGCAAUAAAACAUGCUACUGUAUUUUUGGUAAAAUAAGACAAAAUUAACCAUUUAAAAAUCAUUUUGCAAAGAAGAGAAAAAAAAUUAACUCUUAGACACCUAAGUGAUAAAUACGAUAUAGUUGGAGGGUUAAUUUUGUAUUUAAUCCAAAAAAGAAAAGAACAGAUUUGACCUUGUCAUCUGCAAAUUUGAUCCAAAACAGAGCAACAGCUCUGUCAUAGGGAUCAGCCGGCAGCAAGAGAUUCUGCGGCCAAAUUUCAUCGAUAUAUUGAAGGAUGACGGUGGAUUCACAGAUCGGUUUUCCGUCAUGAACGAGCACCGGGACUUGCUUAUGAAUUGGAUUAUAUUGAAGAAGCAAAGGACUCUUGUUGCGGAGAUCUUCGUCAAUAUAUUCGUAAGGUAUGCCUUUGAGUUUCAGAGCCCAAAUUACUCUGUAACCGUACGGGCUAAAAAAAGAUCCGAACAAUUUCAGGACCGCCAUGGUUGGGAGAUUAGUUCAGAGAUUCUGAGAGCGCUGAGUGCAAAUUUAUAAUAGGAUUACUGGUCAAAGAUUUGUCUAAGGUAACGAUGGUGACUGUUUUUUUUCAUGACAUAAAAAAGAGAAAUUGACAAAAAUUGUAGGCCCUAAGAGUUAGAAUUUGUCACUAUAACUUUUUUAUACAAAGAUGAAGUAUUAUAAAAGAUUUUAUAUAAUAAUAUCAUGCAUGAUGCUAUAUAAGAUUUUAUAAAAUAUUUUAUAUAAUAAUAUAAGGUAAUGUGAUGCAUGAUGCAUCUUUAUUAAUUGUUUUUUUUUUAAUUUGAAUAAAUGUUUUUAGAAAUAAAUUAGUGGUUAGUUGAAUUGAUUAGGUCAUUAGUUCGUCGAUUUAAUAAGUUCGAUAAAGAUAUAAUAAUAAAUUCAUAAAAAAUAAUAUUUAAGAAAUCCAGUUCAACCGUCAAUUUAAUUGAUUUUAUAACCGGUUCAAUCGAUUCGAUGUUUUUUUUUUUGAAUCUAUAUUUCGACCUGUUUCCAGUUCAACCGAACAAUCUAUCCUAUUUAAACACAAGUAAACACCCCAAUAUAAUUGAAUAUAUAUGUUUUUUUAUAAUUAAUGUACCAUAUAUAUUAAUUUUACCCAUGUGUUGAUUUGAUGAUCAAGGUGUUCACCGUCUCAGAUGUGAUCUGGGUUCAAGUCACGCUAAUCGCGUUGCUGUUUAGGACUUUGCUCUCCUCUUAUAAUUCGCCAAAAAAAGAUCAUUUAUCUUUGAUGUUUUAGCAAACGUGUCAUCAUGUCGAGGGAGCAUUUGACUAGAAAAUCAAACCUUGCUAAUGUGUCGUCGAUAUGUAAUAAGAGAAAAAUAUUUUAGAAUUGUUUUAGAACUAACUACUACUUAAAUUAUUCGAAAAUUCUAUUUUAUUAUAUAUUAUAUGUGUAUGUAUGCUAACAUAUAUAAUAAACAAAAAUAAAUAAAAUAAGAUUACUUCUUUUUUUAUGCUUCUUACUCGUUGAAUUCUGUAAUAAUCCAAUUUUUUGUAGUGUUGGAAAGUAAAAUAUCGACACUUCAUUUCUAUAAAUCAAAUUCGUAAAAUUCAUUAUUAAAUCACACCCAACAAGUUUGAGACCUUAAGAAUUUGUGUAUUGAAUUCACUAUAUAAACCAAUGGUUAAAUUAUGCUAUUAAUUUGUGUAUUUUGCAAAAGUUGUGAAUUUAGUCCUUGUACUUUCGGAACGGUCAUAUUUAGUAUCUCUACUUUUCGAAUUUUGAAGUUUUAAUCCUCACCCGAACAGUAGUGGUUAGAUCCAUUUGGUUAAAUUCAAUUACUAGUCGCCAUGUGUACAAUUGUAUAUUUAGUCCAUAUUAUGCAAUUGAAUCAUUCUAAGUCCCUAUACUUUUUUUUAAUUCUGAAAUUUUGGUCUUCAUGCAAAUAACAAUUGUCAAUCUAUUAAUUAGAUUUCGAAUGAGUAAUAUGUAGAAAUAACAAGCUGAUAAAGCAUUACACAUAUGAUGAUAUAUUUAUCGCAUCAAAAUUUGAAAAUAACAUAACAUAACUUAAUGAAUUUAUCAAAAAUUGCAAGAAAUAAAAAUGACCAAUAACUUUUGUAAAAUAUACGGAUUAAUAGUAAAAUUUGACGUAAACUAUAAUAUUUGAUAAUAUUUUUUUAAUUAUCUAUAUAUAACUUAACCCAAGUAUAAUUUAGCUAGCUCUUAAUUACUUAUAUAAGUGAACAUAUAUGUAUAUAAAGCUUAAUAAAAGUUUAUAUUUGGUAAAGUUGGUUGGACAUGGUAGCAUAGUCUUCACACCUAGAAGAAGUGUCAAAUUGGUCUAUAAUCCCUAUUUCACCUAAUUAUGCUAAUAGCCUUUCUAUUUAGCAAUGAAAUCUUGAUUGAGCAUUGACAUAAUGAAAUAUUAAUCAUAGAUAUAAAUAGGAAUCUCAUGUGAAUCUACCUUACUCUUUGAUGAUAUUUCUUGAUAGAAUAAUUCACGUGAUUUUAUCUCCUUCUUACUUGAAAAAAACAUUAAAAUAGUUGUUUCUUCAUGUGGGAGACGGUGAAAGUGGUAAAGGCAAGGCGCAAGGUUGUGCUUGUGACAACCUUGGGGAAGAUUUCGGUAAGUUUCCUUGAAAUUUACACACUGACUCGUUUACUUAAUUGCCAGGUUGAAGUAAUUAAACUAAUUGGUGACUUCAAUUAAGUUUUCUGAAUUUUAUGAAUAAACUGUGAAUUAGCUGCUGUUGAUUUUGGGUAUGUAGCAAAUCAAACGUGUUGGAAAUUUGAAGAAAUGGUUGUCCAAACUGACUGGUGUUUUCAUCUGACAUAUCAAGAAAUGAUUGUCUAAAAUGGCUGCUGUUUCCAGAACUUAUUAUAUCUGAUAUUUAAGAAAUGGUUGUCCUUAAUGACCGUUGUUUUCAUAAUUUAUUAUGUCUGACAUACGAAGAAAUGGUUGUCUAAAAUAGCUGUUGUAUUAUGUGUGAGUUUAAUUCAUUUCUUCUGAAUAAAAUUCGAUUCGUUUUAAAAUUUUGAUAAAAAAAUUAAAAAUUUAAAUUAAAUAGUUUUAAUUAAUCGAAUUAUUUGGAUCAACUCGAAUAAAAAAAUUUAAAUUUUUGGUUUAAUUCGAAUAUGAACUCAAAUAUGAAUUACACAAUUCGAGUUAUUUGAAAAUUUAAAUAAAAAAUACAAAAUUACGUCAUUUUGAUAAAUAUUUACUUCCUCUAAAGUUAAAAGAUAAAAUUACAUUGUUUUGAUAAAUAUUUACCCAUCAGCCUUAUUUUCUUUCUCAUGUGAUAUGAUUACAAAUGUGAUAUGAAAGGAUUAUAUUCUUAUAAUAUAAGUUAACAUAUUAAAUUUGCUUACGAACUUUUGUUUUGUAUUUAUAUCCUCAAAUAAUUUGUGUUUUGUUAUAAUAUUAGUUAUAGAAAUGUCACUGAGUUGAUUACUCAGCAUUCGGUUUGCUUUCCGUGCGCAGGUUAGGUUCAAUUGUGUGCACUCAUUGUUAUCAGCAUCCAGCAGAAAAUCUCACACUCAUCGAGUUGGUGAAACUCUUACUAUUUUGGUUGGCAUGUACUUAUAGGUUUUUAUGUUAUAUUAAGCUUAGUUAGAGAAUUAUUUCAUACUUUGAGACAUAUAAAUAGACAAGUUAAUUAAUGACUUUGAAUUAUCUUACUAUAAACAAGGAAUCACUCGAAAAUUAAUUAAUGACUAUGAAUUAUUAUUUUAUUAAAUAAUUGAAUUUUGAGGUGAAAUUUUAUUACUAUUUCAUCGUGACAAGUUAAUUAAAUUAAUUUGUUCAUAGAUUUUUAUCGAUAAAGUUGUCAUGAGUUUAACGAAAUUAGAAUUGAGUUGAAAAAAUAAUUUAGUUAAUUUAAUUAAUUAAAAGAAUAAAAAAUAUUUCGAGCAUAAAAAAUAUUUAUUGGAAUAAAAAUUAUAUGAGUUGGUUUAAAAACAAAACAACCCAUAUAAUUAACCCGAUAAAUAAAAAAUGCCCAAAUAGACCCGAUAUAGGAGGGAGGGGAUGCAAACCAGUAUAGACCCAUUGAACUAGAUUUUUAUUGUUUUUUAAUCUUGAUGAUUUAUUUAAACGAACUAGACAGACCAAUUGAAACUAUUAGACCAACAAAUCAAUAACUUGUUAUGUUUGAAUUCUGAAAACGUUCGAUAAAGAACAUAAGUGUUCAGAUCCUCUCAAAUAUCGGAUUACAUCUUCAACCUUAUGUGGAACAUUUAACACUUCCAUGGGAGAAAAUACAAUCAAUGUUCCAAACCCUAAUUCGAUUUUGAUGUGAACAACAUCUCUUUACGACGCUUCAAGUAAGCAACACAAGUAAACACCCCAAUAUAAUUGAAUAUAUAUGUUUUUUUUAUAAUUAAUGUAUCAUAUAUAUUAAUUUUACUCAUGUGUUGAUUUGAUGAUCAGGGUGUUCACCGUCUCAGAUGUGAUCUGCGUUCAAGUCACGCUAAUCGCAUUGCUGUUAGGACUUUGCUCUCCCCUUAUAAAAAAAAAAGAUCAUUUAUCUUUGAUGUUUUAGCAAACGUGUCAUCAUGUCGAGGGAGCAUUUGACUAUAAAAUCAAACCGUGCUAAUGUGUCGUCGAUAUGUAAUAAGAGAAAAAUAUUUUAGAAUUGUUUUAGAACUAACUACUACUUAAAUUAUUCGAAAAUUCUAUUUUAUUAUAUAUUAUAUGUGUAUGUAUGCUAACAUAUAGAAUAAACAAAAAUAAAAUAAAAUAAGAUUACUUCUUUUUUCAUGUUUCUUACUCGUUGAAUUCUGUAAUAAUCCGAUUUUUUGUAGUGUUGGAAAGUGAAAUAUCGACACUUCAUUUCCGUAAAUCAAAUUCGUAAAAUUCAUUAUUAAAUCACACCCAACAAGUUUGAGACCUUAAGAAUUUUUUUUAAAAACUUUUGAAAUUUGCAUGUUAAAUAGUUGUUUCUUCAUGUGGGAGACGGUCAAAGUGGUAAAGUCAAGGAGCAAGCUUGUGCUUGUGACGGUCAAAUUCAUGUUUCCUUGAAAUUUAUACACUUACUCCUUUACUUAAUUCCCAGGUUGAAGUAAACUAGUUGGUGACUUCAAUUAAGUUGUCUGAAUUUUAUGAAUAAACUGUGAAUUAGCUGCUGUUGACUUCGGUAUGUAGCAAAGAAAACGUGUUGGAUAAAUGAAGAAAUGGUUGUCCAAAAUGACUGUUGUUUUCAUAAUAUAUUUUGUCUGACAUAUGAAGAUAUGAUUGUCUAAAAUGGCUGCUGUUUCCAGAACUUAUUAUGUCUGACAUUUAAGAAAUGGUUGUCCAAAACGGCCGUUGUUUUCAUAAUUUCCGACAUAUGAAGAAAUGGUUGUCUAAAAUGGCUGUUGUUCGGUUAUGGUGUGAGUUUAAUUCAUUUCUUUCUUCAAUAGUUGGUUGUAUUCUUAUGUUGGUAAGUGGGGUGAAUAAAAUUCAAUUCGAUUUUAAAAAUUUGAUAAAAAAUUUAAAUUUUAAAUUAAUCGAGUUAUUUGCAUCAACUCGAAUAAAAAAUCAAUUUUUUUGGUUUAAUUCGAAUAUGAACUCGAAUAUGAACUCGAAUAUUACACAAUUUCGAGUUAUCUGAAAAUCUAAAUAAAAAAUACAAAAUUACGUUGUUUUGAUAAAUAUUUACUCCCUUCAAAGUUAAAAGGCAAAAUUACGUUGUUUUAAUAAAUAUUUACCCAUCAUCCUUAUUUUCUUUCUCAAAUCCCCCACUUUCGCUUUUUCCUUUACUCAAAAGUAACUUAAAAGCUUGUACUUCAUCUAUUAGUUGAAUAAUCAGUCCAUGUAAACGCAAUAUUGAGUAUAAAUAAUAGGAUUCAUUAACUAGACUCGAAUUUUUUUUACUCGAUUCAUCUCAAUUUAAAAAAAAAUACUAAUUGAGUUCAGUUGCUAAAAUAGUAUUUAUCAACUUGACUAACUUUUUUUUUUUACUCUAUUGAAUGCUCACCUCUACUGGUAAGUGGGAUCAAAUUUGAAGGAAAAGUUUUAAUGAUUGUCAGUUGUUGAGUGAGCUGUCGUGACAUGCAAAACCCAUGCAUGCUGUCCGAAUAUGACUUAUUGUUAUGAAAUUAAUGUCCUGCCGGAGUUGAUUAAAUAUUAAUGUCCUAUGCUGCAAUUAAAAGAUGUCAUAGUGCUGUAUCGUGUUUAAAAUCUGAGUAUUUAUGUUGUCUUAAAACAUUAUCUGUAUGGAUUAAUUACUGUAAUUUAAACCGUUUUAAUAAUGAAAUCGUGAUAUCUUAAAGCACAAAUUGUGGUUAAAAUGUAUAAAUCUGGGAGUAAAUCGAGUUUUAUUUGUGGAAUGACAUGUUAUUUUAGAAGUACAAAUUGAGUGUUGCUAAUGGUGAGUUCUUUCAGUUUUUAUCAAUUUAAGUGUAAUGUUUAAUUGAAUUUUUGAGUUUACAGAUCGGGAAUUUGAAGGUGAAUAUGUGACAACCUGUUGAUACGAUUACAAAUGUGAUAUGAAAGGAUUAUAUUCUUAUAAUAUAAGUUAACGUAUUAAACUAUUUACGAACUUUUGAUUUUUAUUUAUGUCCUCAAAUAAUUUAUGUUUUGUUAUAAUAUUAGUUAUAGAAAUGUCACUGAGUUGAUUACUCAGCAUUGCAGGUUAGGUUCAAUUGUGUGCACUCAUUGUUAUCAGCAUCCAGCAGAAAAUCUCACACUUAUCGAGUUGGUGAAACUCUUAUAUUUUGGUUGGCAUGUACCUAUAGGUUUUUAUGUUAUAUUAAGCUUAGUUAGAGAAUUAUUUCAUACUUUGAGACGUAUAAAUAUACAAGUUAAUUAAUGACUUUGAAUUAUCUUACUAUAAACAAGGAAUCACUCGAAAAUUACUUAAUGACUUUGAAUUAUUAUUUUAUUAAAUAGUUGAAUUUCGAGGUGAAAUUUUAUUACUAGGUCAUCGUGACAAGUUAAUUAAAUUAAUUUGUUCAUAGAUUUUUAUCGGUAAAGUUGUCACGAGUUUAACAAAAUUAGAAUUGAGUUGAGAAAAUAAUUUAGUUAAUUUAAUUAAUUAAAAGAAUAAAAAAUAUUUCGAGCGUAAAAAAUAUUUAUUGGAAUAAAAAUUAUAUGAGUUGGUUUAAAAAACAAAACAACCCAUAUAAUUAACCCAAUAAAUAAAAAAUGCCCAAAUAGGUCCAAGUUAGACAUUGUUUGAUAAACCACUAAGCAAAUUUAAUCAAUUAAAAACUAAUAUUUUCAAUGAUUAGUAUUUUACACAUGUUUGAUAAUCCAAAAUAAAAAAUAAUCCAAUAGAAUUUUUUUCUAUAAAAAAGUGUGGAAAAUGAUGAGUAAAUAAAAUUUAAUUAUCACUUAAUGGAGAAUAUUUUCAAUAAACUCAAUUUUAUUUUAUUUAUUUUAAUAUUAUGUUAUCCUAUAAAAACUAAAUGUUUAAAAAUAUAAAAAGUCAAAAAUAUCUAUAUAAUCUUAUAAGUUACUUAGUAGAUUAAAUAUUUUUUUAGUAAUUUCCUAAAUUGGGACAUAGUUGGUGGGUGACACCGACUCAGUAAAAAGCUUAAUAAAUAACUAGAAAUUCUAUCACACAUGUAUGCAUAGAGUACCACAAAUUUCGAAUGCAAAUGUAUGUUUAAGAAAUUAGCGUACAAUAAAUAAUGAAAUAUAUGAUUUGAAACUAAUUAAUAAUAACAUGUGAAACAUAUUUGAUGUUAAAAUGAAAAAAUAAAUAAAAAGUUGUUUAUCAUUUUGUUGUCUUCAAUCUUAAGUCAGUGUCGAGUUAACUUGUGACAUCAACUCAGUUAAAAGCUUUAUUAAUAUUAACUAUAUAUACAACUGGUGGAGGUAAUAAAACGUGCGUAAUAAAAUAAAAAUGUAUAAAAUUAUCAAAAUAAAACUUUAGUUGAAUGGUAAAUUAAAAACUUUAAUAGUACAAUUGGCAUGGGUUUAAUUCCUACCAUUUUUUAAAGUGACAAGAAUAAAUUAACCUUGAAUAAUAUUACUUAUUUUAAUUACGUAAAGGCCUUCUCGUAAUUUCCUAACCGAGUUGGUGCCUAGUGACUUGUGACACCAACUUAGUCAGUGCUUUAUUAAUACUAGAAAUCCUAUUACACGCGUAUGCGUGUGGAAACUACAAAUUUAGAAUACAAAUGUGUGUUUAAAAAUAACAUACAAUAAAUAAUAAAAUGUAUAGGUUGACACUAAAUAAUAAUAAUAACACGUGAAAUUUGAAGAUAUUAAAAUGAAAAUGAAUAGAUUAAAAUUCGACUUUCUAAUAUGUUAAAAGAAAUGGGAAAGGUAUGAUAACAGAGGGAGAAACAAAAGAGAAUGGAAAAAAAGAGGAAAGUUUAAAGAACAUAAAAGAAAAAAAUUAAAUUACUUAAAAUGAAAAAAAUAUGGGGAUCAAUUGUAUAAUUUAACCUAAAAUUUUGUUUGAAAUGAUGAUUUAACGUGCCACAUCAGCUUACCGUUACACCAUUAACAACGAUUAAUGGCUCAGUGAGUAAAAUGUUACAACAUGAUAACGUAAAUGACUAAAACGUAACAUUUCAAACAUAAGUGACUAAAACGUAACCUAAGGUAAACAAAAAUGACCAUGGGUGUAGUUUACCCAUCUUAAAAAGACUGGUGAUCAAAUUCUACUCUUUUGAAAAAAAUUUAAUCCCAGAUGUAACUAAAAAAAAAAGAGAAAUUGACCAAAAUUUUUGGCCUUAAAAGUUAGAAUUUGUCGCUAAGACUUUUUUAUACAAAGAUGAAGCGAUAAUGUUAGGACUUUGUUCUCCUCUUAUAAUUCAAAAAAAAAAAGAUAAUUUAUCUUUGAUGUUUUAGAAACGUGUCAUCAUGUCGAGGGAGCAUUUGACUAUAAAAUCAAACCAUGCUAAUGUGUCGAUAAAUAAUAAGUGAAAAAUAUUUUAGAAUUGUUUUAGAAAAUUCUAUUUUUUUUUAUAUUAUAUAAGUUCAACCGUCAAAGAUAGCAAAUCAAACGUGUUGGAAAUUUGAUGAAAUGGUUGUCCAAAAUGACCGUUGUUUUCAUAAUUUAUUAUGUCUUGACAUAUGAAGAAAUGGUUGUCUAAAAUGGCUGUUGUUCGGUUAUGGUGUGAGUUUAAUUCAUUUCUUACUCUUGUGUUGGUAAGUUAGGUGAAUAAAAUUUGAUUCGAUUUCAAAAUUUUGAUAAAAAUUUUAAAUUUUAAAUUAAAUUGUUCGAAUUAAUCAAGUUAUUUGGACCAACUCGAAUAAAAAUCAAUUUUUUUGUUUAAUUCGAAUAUGAACUCGAAUAUGAAUUACACAAUUCGAGUUAUCUGAAAAUCUAAAUAAAAAACACAAAAUUAUGCCGUUUUGAUAAAUAUUUACUUCCUCUAAAGUUAAGAGGCAAAAUUACGUUAUUUUGAUAAAUAUUUACCCAUUAGCCUUAUUUUCUUUCUCGAAUCCCCCCACUUUCCCUUUUUCCUUUAAUAAAAUUAACCUAAAAGUUUGUACUUCGUCUACUAGUUAAAUAAUCAGUCCAUGUAAACACAAUAUUGAAUAUAAAUAAUAGGAUUUGUUAACUCGACUCGACUUGACUCAAAAUUUUUUUUACUCGAUUCGACUCAAUUUUAAAAAAAAAGUACAAAUUGAGUUCAAUUGCUAAAAUAGUAUUCAUCAACUUGGCUAACUUAAAUUUUUUUACUCUAUUGAAUGCUCACCUCUACUGGUAAGGAUGAAAAUUGAGGGAAAAAUUUUGAUGAUUGUCAGUAGUUGAGUGAGUUGUCUGUGACAUGCAAAACCCAUGCAUGUUGUUCGAAUAUGACUUAUUGUUAUGAAAAACCUGGCUCUGAUACAAUGUUAAGAUGAUAAAAGAAAUAUGAAGAAUAUUUUCUACGUUUAUGAUUAUCUUUACAAAUGAAUAGAGCUACAGAAUAUAUACAGCUAAUGUGUAACUAAUUACAUUGCUAAUUACACUAUACAGCUCACUACUUUAACUAACUGUACACAAAUAACUAAUUUAGUUUUUUUCUACAAAGAUGUCAUAGUGCUGUAUCGUACGUGUUUAAAAUGUGAGUAUUUAUGUUGUCUUAAAACAUUAUUUGUAUGGAUUAAUUACUGUAAUUUAAACCGUCUUUAUAAUGAAAUUGUGAUAUCUUAAAGCAGUAAAUUGAGAGGAGUUUAUCGUGCUUUGGUGCCGUGGUUAAAAUGUAUAACUCUGGGAGUAAAUCGAGUUUUAUUUCUGGAAUAACAUGUUAUUUUAGAAGUACAAAUUGAGUGUUUCUAAUGGUGAGUUCUUUCAGUUUUUAUUGAUUUAUGUGUAAUGUUUAAUUGAAUUUUUUAGUUUACAGGUCGGGAAUUUGAAGAUGGAUAUAUAACAACCAGUUGAUAUGAUGACAAAUGUGAUAUGAAAGUAUUAUGUUCUUAUAAUAUAAGUUAACAUAUUAAUCUGCUUACGAACUUUUGAUUUUUAUUUAUGUCCUCACAUAAUUUAUGUUUUGUUACUAUAUUAGUUAUAGAAAUGUCACUGAGUUGAUUACUCAACAUUCGUGUUUGCUUUCCGUGCACAGGUUAGAUUCAAUUGUGUGCACUCAUUGUUAUCAGCAUCUAGCAGAAAAUCUUGCACUCAUCGAGUUGGUGAAACUCUUACUAUUUUAGUUGGCAUGUACCUAUAAGUUUUUAUGUUAUAUUAAGCUUCGUUAGAGAAUUGUUUCAUACUUUGAGACGUAUAAAUAGACAAGUACUUAAUUAAUGACUUUGAAUUAUCUUACUAUAAAAAAGGAAUCACUCAAAAAUUAAUUAAUGACUUGGAAUUAUUAUUUUAUUAAAUAAUUGAAUUUCGAGGUGAAAUUUUAUUACUAAUUCGUCGUGGUUUCAUAAGGACAAGUUAAUUGAAUUAAUUUGUUCAUAGAUUUUUAUCAGUAAAGUCGUCAUUAGUUUAACGAAAUUAGAAUUGAGUUGAGAAAAUAAUUUAAUUAAUUUAAUUAAUUAAAAGAAUAAAAAAUGUUUUGAGCAUAAAAAAUAUUUAUUGAAAUAAAAAUUAUAUGAGUUGGUUUAAAAACAAAACAACCCAUAUAAUUAACCUGACAAAUAAAAAUGCCCAAAUAGACCCGAUAAAGAUUGAUGAUCAAAUUCGACUCUUUUCAAAAAAAAAUAAUCCCAAUUUUAACUAAAAAAAGAGAAAUUGACAAAAAUUGUAGCCCUAAAAGUUAUGAAUUUAUCACUAAGAUAUUUUUUUUAUACAAAUAUGAAGUAUUAUUAAAGAUUUUAUAUAAUAAUAUAAGGUAAUGUCAUGCAUGAUGCAUCUUUAUUAAUUGUUUUUUUUAAUUUGAAUAAAUGUUUUUAGAAAUAAAUUAGUGGCUGGUUGAAUUGAUUAGGUCAUUAAUUCGUCGAUUUGAUAAGUUCGAUAAAGAUAUAAUAAUAAAUUCAUAAAAAAAAUAUUUAAGAAAUCCAAUUCAACAGUCAAUUUAAUUGAUUUUUUAACAGGUUCAAUCGAUUUGAUAUUUUUUUUAAAUUUAUAUUUUGACCUAUUUCCGGUCCAACCGAACAAUCCAAUCCUAUUUAAACACAAGUAAAAACCCCAUAUAUAAUUUUGAACCCCAUAUAUAAUUGAAUAUAUAUGUUCUUUUUUAUGAUUAAGGUAUCAUAUAUAUUUAUUUUACCCGUGUGUUGAUUUGAUGAUCGAGGUGUUCACCAUCUCAGAUGUGAUUUGGGUUCAAGUCAUGCUAAUCUUGUUGUUGUUAAGACUUUGCUCUCCUCUUACAAUUCACCAAAAAAAGAUAAUAUAUCUUUGAUGCAUCCACGUUGCCAAACUUUGUUGUUGGUAUGUGGAUUUCCAUCCUUUCAUGUUGCCAUAUUCUUUGACUUUAACCUUCUUGCAUAUUGUUGAGAUUCAUUGCUUUAAUUUCAUCUAAAUGCAAUGAGUCAGAUGAAAGUCUUGGUGAGUUACAAGCUUCCCACGUGCUUCUGAUUUGUUCCAGAAUGUGAGAUGGAUAAUCUUCAAAUUCUAUAUCAGCUAUCUUUUUUAAUAGCUUCAAAGAUUCUUCAUCUCUUUCUUCCUAGGUGUUUCCAGUGUAGUAUGCCAGUAUUCUUCUGCCAUCAGUCCAUAGAUGAUAAUUUUUUUGCUGGAAAAGAUCUUGGGCUGUUGCUAUUAUAUCAAUCCCUACUUGGGUUUGAUAAUAACUUGGAUCAUUAUAACACCUGUCAAUAUUUUUUGUCAAGUGUUCUUUGACCUCUUUUAUAGCGGAUAAUCAGGGACUUCCAAUUAUUCUUUGAAUAAUCCAUAUUUGAUAUGGCUGAUAAAAUUUUUCUUUUUCAGCUAUACCAAUUAAACUACUUAUUUCAAUAUGAAAAUAGUAGAAGAAAUCAUCAUUGUUUAUGAUGUUUUGUAAUUUAGAUUUUACCAUUGCUGGAAAAUCUUUUAAAUGAUGAAAAGAAAAGUUUUGUACAACUAUUUCUUUUACAAAACCCCAUUCAAUACUUGUUAUAUCGAACGGUUCGUGAUCCAAUCUAAAUUUUAUAGUUGGAAAACUUUCUCCUAUAAAAUUGGUAAAAACAUAAGAUUAUAGAAAAUAUUCAGAAAAAGAUUUUUCAAAUUGUCUACUGGUUGUAGAUAACUCUAUUUAUUUUAGAAAAUAUUUCUAGAGGUAAAAUCUGUCUAGAUUUAUUAUAUAAAUAGAUCCUAAAUACCUUAUUCACAAUAGGACUGUUUUUCCCUUUAUGAAUAAAAUAUUAAAUUAUAUCAAGAAGAUUAUUUAUCUCCUUAAUAUCCAUAAUAAAGAGUUGGAAUUCAUCCCAAUCUAUGUAUAAAAUAGAUUUUAAUAAUAAAUCUUCAGCUUCAUUUUCCUUAGUUGUUUUUUCAACUUAAAGUAAUGAAAAUGGUGUAAGAGCUCUCCUGAAAUUUGCUCUUUGAUUUAAAAUAUGGGUUUUCCAUAUUUCGUUUAUAAAAUUAUAAAAUUCUGGCGGUAUACCAGGACUAAAAAAAUCUUUUAUUUCUGGAAAUUGUUGUUGUUUCAACAAAUUUUCUGCAUCCUUAAUAAUAUCAGCAUAACUGGUUUGAAAUGCCGAAUUUGGAUCUUGGAACCAUUGUGAUUGACUUACUGUUUUUGGUGUCAAUGACAAACAAGUUCCAAUUGGUUGAUUUACCAUUGGAUAUGGCACAUAAUGUCCUUGAUUAGGAUAAAAUGAUAUUUGUGCAGGUACAAAUCCUUGUUUGGAAUUUGUUGUUGUUUUCCCUUUGUUAGGCUUUUUGUGAAUGGUAGUCCAUGUAGCGACCUAAAAAUUUGGAUACGAUGGCACGGGCGCUAGUCGAAAUAAUUAUUGAAAAAUUAAAAACAUCGUCUCGAUUUUAUUUGCAAAAGGAGUUGCCACCGAUCUUUUUUAGGUGUGAUCGGACACCUAAUAAAUUCUCUUUUUAGAAGAAAUAUUUAUUUUUAAAUUUUCCUAAAAAGAGGUAAUUUUAGGUCUGCGUGAAAAUCCAAAGAAAAUUAGGGUUCGGGAGUCGGUUAUCGCGAGGAAGGUAUUAGCACCCUCGCGACGCCCAAAAUUGGUAUCUCGUUAAACGCGCGUUUUCUUAAUUUUCAAAAAUACAAGUUCAAUUUAAUAUUUAAUUGUGAUCCGAUUGAAACUUGAGAAAACCUUUUUUUUUGUUUUUAAACACGAGAACUUUGAAACACAAUAAUAAUUUUUGAAAACACGAAGAUUUUUGAAACACGAAAUUUUUUUGACACGAAAAAUUUUGAAAACACGAAAAUUUCGAAAACUUGAAUUUUUUUUUAAACAUGAUUUUUUUUUAAAAAACACGAGAAUUUUUUGAAAACACGAAAGCACGAAAAUUUUGAAAACACGGGAAUUUUUUUAAAACACGAAAAUUUUUGAAACAUGAGAAUUUUUUGACACGAAAAUUUCGAAAACAUGAAUUUUUUUUAAAAUACGAAUUUUUUUAAAAAACAUGAAAACAUGAAAAUUUUGAAAACACGAAAAUUUUUGAAACAUGAGAAUUUUUUGAAAACACGAAAAAAUUUUUAAACAUGGGAAUUUUUGAAAACACGGAAAUUUUAAAACAUGGAAACUUUAAAAACACGAAUUUUUUUUUAAAACACAAGAUUUUUAUUUUUUUAUUUUUUUAAAUACCGUAUUUAACACGAACCGGUGACAUUCACCCCGUUAUGGCGAUGAAACCAUCGAAUUAGUGUUAACUCAAUUCAAUUUAAUAUUUAAUCGGGAUUCUAAUAAAACACGAGAAUUUUUAUUAAAAUACGAGGAUUUUUGAAUAUUUUUAUUUUUAAAAGGGCGUCCCGAAUUUAACACGAGCUAUCGAUAUCCACCCAACAUAGCGAUAAAUUUGAUGACUCGAUGCUAAAUCGGUUCGUUGCCUUAUGCAUUAAAAUAUUAUUUUUUUUAAAAUAUGCAAUUAAAAUGACAUAAUAAUAUUUAUGAAAACUAUUUUUAAACAUACUAAUUUAAAUUAAAUAAAACACCAUUUAAAUACAUUAAAUAAAAUAAAAUAGAUUAAAAAGAAAAAAAAAUUACCCAAAAAGGCCCUUUUCCUUUUUUUCGGUUUGGGCCUCAGUUGGCCCGCUUCACUGCUGCAAUCGGCCCGCUGGAGCUGCUGGGGUAUUGGGCCUGCACUGGGUCAAGUCCAUUGCCCCCCCGACUGCUGGUGGCUUACCAAAACCCCGCUGCUGUUUUUAUUUUUUUAUUACUUUUUUCUCUCUUUUUCUUCCUCUUUUUUUCUUCUUCUCUUCUUCUUGUCUCAAAGCCUUGGCCCUUCUUUUUCACCGCCGUCGAUGUCUCCUGGGUGCGGUGGUUGGACGUUCGCCGGCGUUCUCCUUUCCCUCCUCUCUUCUUCUUCUUUCUUCACUUCUUUCUACUUUACUUUUUGUUUUUGCUUGCUUGCUGCUAUUUUCCUUUCUUUUGUUUAUGCUUGCACAUUUCUUAGCUUGACUUCGGCGAGGAGCAACGAUGAUCGUUGCACGGCGAUCGUGGUGGCGUGGGUACGGUGGCGGUGAGCGUGGGAUCGGCCCAUGGGAGUAUUUUUUGCUGCUGGAAUUUUCUGCUAUUUUUUUUGCUUUGGUUGCCGAAAAUCCUCCUCCCUUCUCUUCAAUUUUUUCUUUUUAAAAGCUCCAAAUUUUGUCCUCUUUCUCAUUGUUUGCAGGUGGCAGAGGAGCCAUGAUGGCCUAGGGGGGCUGCUGGAGUAGCUCGGCUGGGAGGGGUACGCUCGGCUGGUGCAGCGGCGAUUAGACAAGUCCAGAAGGACUAAAUUGCAUAGGAUGCAAAGCUUCUGGGGCAAAAGUGUAAUUUUAGCAAAAAUAUGGGCCAAAAUGUAAUUUCUUGAGAGUUUAGGGGUCAAAGUGAAUUUUUGAGAAAGUCUAAGGGUCAAAAUGUAAUUUUAGAAAGUUUUGGGUCAAAAUGUAAAUUUUAGAAAAGUUUAGGGUUAAAAUGUAAAUUUUGAAAAGUACAGGGGUUAAAUGAAAAAAUAAAAAAUUCUUUUUUUUUCAAACACGAAAUUAAUCUCGGACAAAAUUCAGUGAUUACAGCUGCCCCUCUUUGCUCAUCGCUAUGAAACAGGGAUAGAGCAAAGACUAAAAAGCACUGAAUUUUGUUCGACCAUCUAAAAUUUUCCUCUUUAUUUGAAAAGCAGAAAUCGAGAACAGCUCGGCGUGCGACCCGAGACUCAACUCACCUCUUGAAUUAUGAGUUGAUCUUCGAAAAACAAAAAUCGAAAAUACCUCGACAUGUGCCCCGAGGCUCAACUCACCUCUCGCAAUAUGAGUUGAUUUUUGAAAAACAUGAAUUGAAAAAUACCUCUGCGUGACCCGAGGCUCAACUCACCUCUCGCAAUAUGAGUUGAUUUUUUGAAAAACAUAAAUUUAAAAGAAAUACCUCGGCAUGGUCCAAGGCUCAACUCACCUCUCGCAAUAUGAGUUGAUUUUUUUGAAAAACAUAAAUUNNNNNNNNNNNNNNNNNNNNNNNNNNNNNNNNNNNNNNNNNNNNNNNNNNNNNNNNNNNNNNNNNNNNNNNNNNNNNNNNNNNNNNNNNNNNNNNNNNNNUGAAGUAAACAAAAUUAAAAAAAAUACCUCAGCGUGACCCGAGGCUCAACUCACCUCUGUAUUAUGAGUUGAUUUCUUGCAAAAAACAGAAUUUUAAAAAUAUUUCUUGAAAGAAACAAGGUUUCAAAAAACAUCAGGUGAAACUAAAAGCCUUCAUCUUCACUGAUUCUGUGCAGCUUUCUCCUAGUAUUCCUUGCUCUACCGGUAUACCUGUAUACGUCAUGUAUGAUGUUAUUACGAUAUGCACAUGUUUGUCCUAAAUGCUUUUGUGUCUACAUGAUCAUGCAAUGCACCGUAGGCUAUUUGUCACGUGCCCCACUUUUGAUUUUUGUGAGGGUCCGCAUUCAUUUCCUCAAUUCUUGACUUUUCUCUCUAAUUUUGUACUCAUCCUCAAGUUCUGUGAGUAAUCUACAUUUCUUCGUAUAUCGCUCUCUUGCCCCCUGCUGAACAUUGUUCCUACUUUGGGGCCCUUAUAUUUAUCAAAUUCUCAUCCAGGUAAUGCUCAACAUUCCUUUUGUUUAGAGUAUGUCAUCUUACUAUUUAUCAUUUAAAUGAAUCAAACACAAGAUGCAUGACAAAAGUGGCAAAGUAGGCAUGAAAGAAAUACCUCACAUUCAUUUUUUAAAGCAACGAAAGAAAUUGACAAGGAAAGUUCAACAAAUAAAUUGUCAUAAAGAAAAGAAAGCGAAUUCAAUGGCCAGAAAUGCUCUAGAUAUCCAAUGCAUGAACUUUCCACGUUUCUUCAUCCUGGAUCUUUUCGAGCACGGCUUCUUGUGUAGAAGAUUUUGAGCUUCUGAGAAUGCUUCAAAUAUUGUAACCUUGCCAUUCGACUCCCUGUUCAAGUCGCCUUGCUCCUUAAGUCCGAGCCCACUUUGUUAGGACGCCCUUUUGGGUUUUCAUCCUAAUCUUUUUUGUUUAUCAAGACGCCCUUUUUGGGUUUUCAUCUUGAUUUUUCUUUUUCUUUUCUUUGUUUUUUUUGUUUUUAUUUUUGUUUUUGUUUUUUUAUUUUUUUUGUCCCUUUUUUUAAGCAUAAUAUUUCUUCACAGCAUCUGAGUUCACUGGAUUAGGUAAUUCUUUCCCAUCCAUUUCAGUAAGAAUCAGAGCCCCUCUUGAGAAUGCCUUUUUUACAACGUAUGGUCCUUCCCAAUUUGGUGACCAUUUUCCUUGAAAGUCCUUUUGUAUCAGGAGGAUCUUUCUUAAAACGAGUUCCCCUUCGCGAAAUUCUCUUGGUCGCACAUUAUUAUCAUGGGCCGUGAUCAUUCUCUCCUGGUACAUCUGUCCAUGACAAAUUGCCUUCAAGCAUUUCCCUUCAAUAAGGUUUAGCUGGUCAUAUCGAACUCGAACCCAUUUCGAUUCUUCUAAUUUUGUCUCCAUCAUGACUCACAAGGAUGAGAUCUCUACUUCAAUAGGCAAAACGGCUUCCAUUCCGUAGACUAAUGAGAAAGGACUUGCUCUCGUAGAUGUCCGCACGGAGGUGCGGUACGCAUACAAAGCUAAUGGUAGCUUCUCGUGCCAAUCUUUAUAUGUCUCACUCAUCUUUCCGAGAAUCCUCUUAAUGUUUUUGUUGGCCGCUUCAACAGCUCCGUUCAUUUUCGGGCGAUAGUGUGAGGAAUUAUGAUGUUUUAUCUUGAAUUGCUCGCACAUUUCUUUCAUCAUUUUGUUGUUCAAAUUUAAAGCAUUAUCUGAGAUGAUUCUUUCAGGCAGACUAUGUCGACAUAUGAUUUCCUUUUUUAAGAACCUACAGACCGUAGCCUUCGUCAUAUUAGCAAACGAAGUGGCUUCUACCCAUUUUGUGAAGUAGUCUAUAACCACAAAGAUGAAUCGAUGUCCAUUGGAAGCUUUCGGGGAAAUCGGCCCUAUAACAUCCAUGCCCCACAUAGAAAAGGGCCACGGAGAAGUCAUGACAUAAAGGGGCGAUGGAGCUGCAUGAAUUUUAUCGCCAUAAAUUUGACACUUAUGACACUUUCGUGCGUAGCCAAUGCAAUCCCUUUCCAUCGUCAACCAAUAAUAACCAAGUCUCAUAAUCUGUCUAGCCAUGGUGAAACCACUAGCAUGCGUUCCACAAAUUCCCUCCUGAACCUCCUCAAGUAUCUUUCUAGCUUCAACAGUGUCCACACAUCUCAUGAGCACUUGAUCUUUCCCUCUUUUGUAUAGAAUAUCCCCGUCAAGAACAAAUCCAAUCGCCAUUCUUCUGAUUGUUCUUUUAUCAUUCUCGUUUGCUUGCUCGGGGUACCUUUGAUUCUUGAUGUACUCUAGGAUAUCAUGGAACCAUGGUCGUCCAUCGGACUUAUUCUCAUACUCAUGCUCGAGAUAUCGCGCUCCCCUUUACUGACUCUUGGCUCUCAUAUACAAUGUCAUACUCAGACAAUAGGAUCUGCCAUCGUGCCAUUCUCCCUCAUAUUCUGUGAACUUUUUACUGAGGCAGUAAAUUAUCUUUUCUCUUUUUCCUGACUCAUCAUGUUGCCCCAGCAUUCUUCAAUUCAAAUGGCAUCACUUUGUAGCAGAACGUUUCCCAUAUUGUGACGAAUGUGGUUUUCUCCAUAUAUUCGGAAGCCAUCUUUAUCUGAUUAUAACCUGAGAAACUAUCCAUGAAAGAAAAUGAAUAAUGUUUUGUCGUGUUAUCCUGGCAUGUCUUGAUACGACCAAACAAAUAUAUCUUUGUACUCACGGAGCAAGGCGAUUAAAUUCUGUUUGGUGUUCUCCGAAACGGAAGUCCUAAUCUUCAGUUCUUGUUUCUUUUCUUCACUCCCUAAGUUCACUGUCUCAACAGAUUCUUGAUGAGGUAAAAUCUGUUUCUCUUCUUGUUCAACUAUUCUCUGUAAGUCAGGAGGCAGGUCACAAUUUUCAGCAUCUUCCUUGGCUUCGAAUUCUCCUAAACAAAUAGCCUUCUUGAAAUUAAUUUCAGGAUUUGUAACGGGAUUAUUCCUGCCAUAGAUAUCUGAGCACCUAAAAGAUGGGUAGAAAAGACAGCUAUAGAGGAGUAUCAAAGUAUUAGAAUCAACACUCAAUGAUAUGAUAUGGUAUGAAAUACAUAUAGGAGAAUGAUGUGAAGAGAAGUGAUAGUUACGAGACUAGUAGAAAUAAAAAGACCAUGACAAAAUGCAUCUUCAUCGAUGUUCAUUGAAAUGAUAAAGAGCAAGCAUAUGCUCUUACAAAAGGAAUCCCACUAUCUAGGGAUAUACAAAAUAAUGGAGAAUUAUCAUUGAGCAUUACUCUAGAGGGGAAUCAAAAACUACAAGGAGGUCCACAGAAGUCUAAUUGUUCAAAACAUAUCCUGGAGGACAAUGGCGUAUCAUUGAAACAUCCCCAAUUGCAUCACCCUCGUUGUCAACAACAUUUAUGCUGAUGUUCUAAAAUCCCUUUUCAUUUAAGGCGCUUCGCAGAUUGUUUUGCCCCUCAUCUUCAUUCGUUACCGAAUUCACAUUCCCAUCAGCAUGGUUAGGAAAAGGGCUUCCAGCCUCAUUACUAACACUAUCAAAUCGUAAAAUGCCCGCAUUGAUAAGAUCUUGAACCCUCCUUUUAAAGGCAAGGCAAUUUUCUGUAGAAUGCCCCUGAUUUCCAGCGUGAUACAUGCAACUAGCAUUAGGAUCAUACCAUUUUGGGUAUGGAGGCUUCAGGGGUGCCAUGUAAUGUGGUGAUAUUAAUUGAUUCUCUAAUAGUUUCGGGUAUAAUUCUCUAUAUGACACAGGAAUUGGGGUGAACUGAGGUCUCUCAGGAUUAGAUCUUGCUGGUCUUGCUCAUUUUUGGGUUGGCUUUGUGUGGGCAUGGUAUUUGGUGGGAACAUGGUGAACGGUCUUUGGUUGUUCAUGGCAUAAACGGGGUAAAGAGGAGGUGUUUGACAAUAAGGACUUUGGGAGGGAAAGUAGAAGUUUGAAGGCGGGCGAUAACGAGUUCGUGGUUGGGCUGGAUGCGGAUUGGAGGUAUAGUGGCUCUCAGUUCCGACCAUAUGGGUUUCUGCCUCUUUAUUCCUUACAGGUACUGUCUUUUUUGAACUUUCAGGGCCUUCCAUCCUCCCAUUCUUGAUGGCGUUUUCUAUAAGCUCCCCAGAUAUUACAAUGUCCUUUGUGGCACUUCCUACCAACUUAUCGUAAAAUGACACUUUCAGAGUAUUAAUGAAGAGGACCGUUAUCUCCGUCUUAGUUAACGGGGGUUCCACCUGAGCUGAGAUAUCCCUCCAUCUUUGUGCGUAUUGUCUAAAGGUCUCUGUCGGCUUUUUUUCCAUCAUUUGCAAAGUUAGUCGAUCAGGCACCAUAUCUGAUACAUGCUUGUAUUGCUCACAGAAUGCUGAUGCUAAGUCCUUCCAUGAUCGGAUCCUCUCUCUGCUGAGCUGAUUAUACCAUCGAAGAGCCGAUCCAACUAAACUGUCCUGAAAACAGUGUAUCAGCAAUUUAUCCUCAUUCACGUAAUCAGUCAUCUUCCGACAAAACAUGACGAGAUGCGCCUUUGGACAUCGCGUCCCAUCAUACUUUUCAAAAUCUGGUGCCUUGAAUUUUGAGGGUAGAACCAGAUCGGGCACCAGACUGAGUUCUUUAGCACUCAAAGCAGAGAAGACUUCAGCACCUUCUAUUGCCUUGAGCCUUUCUUCUAAAAUCUGGUAUCUAUCUUGACCGUCAUAAUCAUUAGUUUUCAAUUUUGCUAUUUCCACAGGAUCGUCCAGAUCUGGAACAAAUGGAUAUGCUGGAUUAACCCCGGAGUUCGAUACCAACAUACCUUGCCCCAAAUGAGCAGAUGGUGCAGGACGUUGUUCCAGGAUUGUAUGGGCGUGAGGUGGAGUAAAUCCUGGGGGAUAGAGUGGAUCCUGAUCAUUAUUAGCUCUUGACUAGGGCUCCAUGAUAUCAUGGCUCUGCAUGGGUCCCUUUCCUUUUACUAAAGCUGUCGUCAUUUCCAUCAUUUUAGCCAUUUGGUCUCUUUGCUCGAGUGAUUCUUCUCGAGAUCUCACCAUCAUAUCUGUUGCCUCUUAUUGUGACUUGGCCAAUUGCUCUUGUAACUCUCUUUGGACCCUUUCCAUCCUUUCGAUUUUUUCGUUAAGUUCAGCGUCCAUAGCUCUAGUUCUUAGACGUGUCCUGUAAAGAUGAUGUGAUUCCAGCCUUGUAGUACCGCCACUGUGGAUUAUGCGAUUUUUGCCUCAGUGAAUGGUAAGGGUGAUAUGUACAUGCAAUGCAUGAAUGAAUGAAUGACAAGUGAAUAUUAGUCAUGAAUAAAUAUACAAGUAUUUGGUGUUGAUUUCAAGACAGCCCCAUAUUUUGGCGUUUCAUUAAUCAAAAGAGUCCAUUACAAAAGAUUUGGCCAAUGAAGAUACCCCUAGUGCCUGAGUCUCAUUGUUUCCAAAUCCUAAUCAAGUAUUCGCGGUUAUUCUGACGAUGCUUUUUGGGUCCUCAAAGAUCAGUCUCAGACUAUAACAUUUUCCUCAAUUACUUGCGUAAUUGAUUCCUCCAUCAAAAACCCGUUUUUGGCAACCAAUCUCUAAUCAACACCAUCCUAAUGAGAUGCCUAUGAUGCAUGAUGAAAAAUAAAAUUAAGACAAAUAAACCUAGUUAGCAAUCACGGCAAAUAUAAACAAAGAAAAACUAUGGAAAAUCUAACAAACCGACCUAUUUUUUUUUUGUUUUAUCCCAUCAUGCUUUACAAAAAUAAACUUACCCCAUAUGCUCAUCAAUCUACCCGAUCAAAUUUAUUAAACAGACCAAAUUCCCUUGCAAAAAGUGUAAAUGUGAAAGAAAUAAAAGGUAAGAGGCGUUUCUCCCGUGUAUUUAUUUUGGUGACUAUUCAUCGGACAGAGGUUCGGCAUGACUCUAAUUGGGUGGCUCGUACGGUUCACUAUAUGUGGCUUUGGUUCUAGAGAGGUACUCGAAUUGUCCAUACUGUCACCUACUAAGGUUAGUACGAAGUCUCGGUUAUCGCCCGUCAUGGGCUUGCGAGCUCAAUUCUAGGGAUUACAUUUACUUAUGCCUAUGCGGAGGGACGAGUUAACUCACGAAAACAUAAGUCAUAUGUAACCCGGAAGUAUUUCACUAGCCUGUGCGGAGGGACGAGUUAACUCACGAAGGCGUAGCGUUUACUUCCACUUAAACGGAUGGAGCCCGGGUAGAGAGCUCAUGUUAUGCAAGAAUGCAAGUGCAUGGUGUGUGGGGAGAAACUCACAAACCUUUUUAUUUUUAUUUUUACUAAAAAAACAAACUAAAACCAUAAAACUUAAAGCUGAAAAAAAACACGAAAAUAAAACAGGUUAGAAAAAUAUUAAUUUCAAAACCGGAUGUAGAUGCAUGAUUUUUCAAAACAAAAUUCAAGGAUCACGAUUAAAAAUUAAAUUGAACAAGAAAUUUUAAAAAUUUUGACAACACGCGUUUAACAUCAGACUCGACUCUAAAAAAAAUGUCCCCAGCGGAGUCGCCAGCUGUAGCGAUCUAAAAAUUUGGGUACGAUGGCACGGGCGCUAGUCGAAAUAAUUAUUGAAAAAUUAAAAACGUCUCGAUUUUAUUUGCAAAAGGAGUCGCCACCGAUCUAUUUUAAGUGUGAUCGAACACCUAAUAAAUUCUCUUUUUAGAAGAAAAAUUUAUUUUUAAAUUUUCCUAAAAAAGAGGUAAUUUUAGGUCUGCGUGAAAAUCCAGAGAAAAUUAGGGUUCGGGAGUCGGUUACGCGCGAGGAAGGUAUUAGCACCCUCGCGACGCCCAAAAUUGGUAUCUCGUUAAACGCGCGUUGUCUUAAUUUUCAAAAAUACAAGUUCAAUUUAAUAUUUAAUUGUGAUCCGAUUGAAACUUGAGAAAACCUUUUUUUUUGUUUUUAAACACGAGAACUUUGAAACACAAUAAUAAUUUUUGAAAACACGAAGAUUUUUGAAACACGAAAUUUUUUUGAAAACACGGAUUUUUUUUUGAAAAUAAGGAAAUUUUCGAUACAUGAGAAUUUUUUGACACGAAAAAUUUUGAAAACACGAAAAUUUCGAAAACUUGAAUUUUUUUUUAAACAUGAAUUUUUUUUUAAAAAACACAAGAAUUUUUUGAAAACACGAAAGCAUGAAAAUUUUGAAAACACGGGAAUUUUUUUAAAACACGAAAAUUUUUGAAACAUGAGAAUUUUUUGACACGAAAAUUUCGAAAACAUGAAUUUUUUUUAAAAUACGAAUUUUUUUAAAAACACGAGAAUUUUUUUGAAAACACGAAAACAUGAAAAUUUUGAAAACACAAAAAUUUUUGAAACAUGAGAAUUUUUUGAAAACACGAAAACACGAAAAAAAAUUUAAACACGGGAAUUUUUGAAAACAAGAAAUUUUUUUUUAAAAACACGGAAAUUUUAAAACAUGGAAACUUUAAAAACACGAAAUUUUUUUUUAAAACACAAGAUUUUUAUUUUUUUUAUUUUUUUAAAUACCGUAUUUAACACGAAUCGGUGACAUUCACCCCGUUAUGGCGAUGAAACCAUCGAAUUAGUGUUAACUCAAUUCAAUUUAAUAUUUAAUCGGGAUUCUAAUAAAACACGAGAAUUUUUAUUAAAAUACGAGGAUUUUUGAAUAUUUUUAUUUUUAAAAGGGCGUCCCGAAUUUAACACGAGCUAUCGAUAUCCACCCAACAUAGCAAUGAAUUUGAUGACUCGAUGCUAAAUUGGUUCGUUGCCUUAUGCAUUAAAAUAUUAUUAUUAUUAUUUUUUAAAUAUGCAAUUAAAAUGACAUAAUAAUAUUUAUGAAAACUAUUUUUAAACAUACUAAUUUAAAUUAAAUAAAACACCAUUUAAAUACAUUAAAUAAAAUAAAAUAGAUUAAAAAGAAAAAAAAUUACCCAAAAAGGCCCUUUUCCUUUUUUUCGGUUUGGGCCUCAGUUGGCCCGCUUCACUGCUGCAAUCGGCCCGCUGGAGCUGCUGGGGUAUUGGGCCUGCACUGGGUCAAGUCCAUUGGUGGUGGACUGCUGGUGGCUUACCAAAAAUGGGCUGCUGUUUUUAUUUUUUUAUUACUUUUUUCUCUCUUUUUCUUCCUCUUUUUUUCUUCUUCUCUUCUUCUUGUCUCAAAGCCUUGGCCCUUCUUUUUCACCGCCGUCGGUGUCUCCUGGGUGCGGUGGUUGGACGGUCGCCGGCGUUCUCCUUUCCCUCCUCUCUUCUUCUUCUUUCUUCACUUCUUUCUACUUUACUUUUUUUUUUGCUUGCUUGCUGCUAUUUUCCUUUCUUUUGUUUAUGCUUGCACAUUUCUUAGCUUGACUUCGGCGAGGAGCAACGAUGAUCGUUGCACGGCGAUCGUGGUGGCGUGGGUACGGUGGCGGUGAGCGUGGGAUCGGCCCAUGGGAGUAUUUUUUGCUGCUGGAAUUUUCUGCUAUUUUUUUUGCUUUGGUUGCCGAAAAUCCUCCUCCCUUCUCUUCAAUUUUUUCUUUUUAAAAGCUCCAAAUUUUGUCCUCUUUCUCACUGUUUGCAGGUGGCAGAGGAGCCAUGAUGGCCUAGGGGGGGCUGCUGGAGUAGCUCGGCUGGGAGGGGUACGCUCGGCUGGUGCAGCGGCGAUUAGACAAGUCCAGAAGGACUAAAUUGCAUAGGAUGCAAAGCUUCUGGGGCAAAAGUGUAAUUUUAGCAAAAAUAUGGGCCAAAAUGUAAUUUAUUGAGAGUUUAGGGGUCAAAGUGAAAUUUUGAGAAAGUAUAAGGGUCGAAAUGUAAUUUUAUAAAGUUUUGGGGUUAAAAUGUAAAUUUUAGAAAAGUUUGGGGUCAAAUUGUAAAUUUUGAGAAGUAUAGGGGUUAAAAUGCAAAAAAGUAAUAAAAUUUCUUUUUUUUUUUUCAAGCACGAAAUUAAUCCCGGACAAAAUUCAGUGAUUACAGUCCAUUCACCAACUAUUAGAGGUCUUUUUACCCCUGUCCAUAGGACCUGCUAAGAUAGUCAACAAUUAUUAGUACAAUAAAUAUUUGAUACUAAUAAAUUAUUUUAAUUUAAUUUUACACCAAUUUUAUUUUUUUCUACUGUAUUUUCAUAGUAAUUGUUUUCUACAGACAACCUAAUAAAAUUUCUAUCAGAAAUUUCCGAUUAGACUUCCUAGUUUAAUUUCUAGCAGAAAAUGACUGUUGUUUUCAUAAUAUAUUUUAUCUGACAUGUGAAGAAAUGAUUGUCUAAAAUGGCUGCUGUUUCCAGAACUUAUCAUGUCUGACAUUUAAGAAAUGGUUGUCCAAAAUGAACUUGUUUUCAUAACUUAUUAUGUCUGAUAUUUGUCUAAAAUGGCUGCUCUUUCCUGAACUUAUUAUGUCUGAUAUAUGAAGAAACGGUUGUCUAAAAUGGCGUUGCUUGGUUACGGUGUGAGUUUAAUUCAUUUCUUUCUCGAAUGGUUGGUUGUAUUCUUAUUUUGGUAGGUGAAGUGAAUAAAAUUUGAUUCAAUUUCAAAAUUUUGAUAAAAGAUUUUAAAUUUAAAUUAAAUAGUUCAAAUUAAUCGAGUUAUUUGGAUCAAUUCGAAUAAAAAAAUCAAAUUUUUUGGUUGAAUUCGAAUAUGAACCCGAAUAUGAAUUACACAAUUCGAGUUAUCUAAAAAUCUAAAUAAAAAAAUAUAAAAUUACGUCGUUUUGAUAAAUAUUUACUUCCUCUAAAAUUAAAAGGUAAAAUUACGUUGUUUUGAUAAAUAUUUACCCAUCAACCUUAUUUUCUUUCUUGAAUCCCCCCACUUUCCCUUUUUCCUUUACUCAAAAUUAACCUAAAAGUUAGUACUUCAUCUACUAGUUAAAUAAUCAAUCCAUGUAAGCGCAAUAUUGAGUAUAAAUAAUAUGAUUCGUUAAAUCGACUUGACUUGACUCGAAAUUUUUUUACUCGAUUCGACUCAAUUUUAAAAAAAUACAAAUUGAAUUCGAUUGCUAAAAUAGUAUUCGUCAACUUGACUAACUUAAAUUUUUUUACGCUAUUGACUGCUCACCUCUACUGAUAAGUGUGAUGAAAAUUGAGGGAAAGGUUUUGAUGAUUGUCAGUUGUUGAGUGAGAUAUCGUGACUUGCAAAACCCAUGCAUGCUGUCCGAAUAUGACUUAUUGUUAUGAAAAUAAUUAAAUAUUAAUGUCCUAUGCUGCAAUUAAAAGAUGUCAUGGUGCUGAAUCGCGUUUAAAAUGUGAAUAUUUAUGUUGUCUUAAAACAUUAUCUAUAUGGAUUAAUUGCUUUAAUUUAAACCGUCUUAAUAAUGAAAUCGUGAUAUCUUAAAGCAGUAAAUUGUGGUUAAAAUGUAUAACUCUGGGAGUAAAUCGAGUUUUAUUUGUGGAAUGACAUGUUAUUUUAGAAGUACAAAUUGAGUGUUGCUAAUGGUAAGUUCUUUCAGUUUUUAUUGAUUUAUGUGUAAUGUUUAAUUGAAUUUUUGAGUUUAUAGGUCGGGAAUUUGAAGAUGAAUAUAUGACAACCAGUUGAUAUGAUUACAAACGUGAUAUGAAAGGAUUAUAUUCUUGUAAUAUAAGUUAACAUAUUAAACUGCUUACGAACUUUUGAUUUUUAUUUAUGUCCUCACAUAAUUUAUUUUUGUUAUAAUAUUAGUUAUAGAAAUGUUACUGAGUUGAUUAUUCAGCAUUCGGUUUGCUUUUCGUGUGCAGGUUAGGUUCAAUUGUGUGCGCUCAUUGUUAUCAGCAUCCAGCAGAAAAUCUCGCACUCAUCGUGUUGGUGAAACUCUUACUAUUUUGGUUGGCAUGUACCUAUUGGCUUAUGUUAUAUUAAACUUAGUUAGAGAAUUAUUUCAUACUUUAAGACGUAUAAAUAGACAAGUUAAUUAAUGACUUUGAAUUAUCUUACUAUAAACAAGGGAUCACUCGAAAAUUAAUUAAUGACUUUGAAAUAUUAUUUUAUUAAAUAAUUAAAUUUUGACGUGAAAUUUUAUUACUAGGUCAUCGUGGUUUCAUAAGGACAAGUUAGUUAAAUUAAUUUGUUCAUAGAUUUUUAUCGGUAAAGUUGUCGUGAGUUUAACGAAAUUAGAAUUAAGUUGAGAAAAUAAUUUAGUUAAUUUAAUUAAUUAAAAGAAUAAAAAAUAUUUUGAGCAUAAAAAAUAUUUAUUGGAAUAAAAUUAUAUGAGUUGGUUUAAAAACAAAACAACCUAUAUAAUUAACCCGAUAAAUAAAAAUGCCCAAAUAGAUCCGAUAUAGGAGGGAGGGGAUGCAAACCAGUAUGGACCCAUUGAACUAGAUUUUUAUUAUUUUUUAAUCUUGAUGAUUUAUUUAAACGAACUAAACAGACCAAUCGAAACUAUUAAACCAACAAAUCAAUAACUUGAUUGGUUCGAAUUCUGAAAACGUUCGAUAAAGAACAUAAGUGUUUAGAUCCUCUCAAAUAUUGGAUUACAUCACUUCCAUGGGAGAAAAUGCAAUCAAUGUUCCAAACCCUAAUUCAAUUUUGAUGUCAACAACAUCUCUUUAAGACGCUUCAAGUGAGCAACUAUCUUAUCGGUAUCAGGCAAGUUGUCUUUGAUUACAGGGACUGAUUUGAAAUUUUGGAUCCACGAGCUCACUCGAGGGAAUUUGUGUGGCUCAAAGACUUUAAGCCAUGCUGCGUCUUCGAUAGCCCCGAGCCAGUGAGCAACCAUGCAAAAUGCAAUGUCCACCAUGUUUAUCUCGUCUCCACCGAAGAGUUUUUUCCCUCCGAUUAGCACAUGUUCUUCCAUGGCUUCCAGCAUUUCCAGCCACUCCUUCACUACCGCCUGUUGUUCUUCACCUUCGGUUCGAUAAAGCUUUGCGAUUAUAGGACUUUGUUUUAAACAGAGAUUCUAGUAUCAGCCAUCAAAAUUUAUGUACCAAAAAAAUUUUCAAACUACAAAGAGCUAGAAUCUUAAUUUCAACUAGGUUAAAAUAUGUUACAAGUACUUGUAUUCUUUGUAUGUUUGCAAUUUAGUCCUACUAUUUUUUAUUUCAAGAAAUUUAAUCCCACUACUGUUAAAGUACUUUACGGGUUUGAAAUUUAACCACUACUCCCACAUCGGGGGCUUGAACUUUUUUUGUUCAAACUAGUCCUUGAACUUGGCGAUUGUUCUCAAGGUAUGGCCUAGACCAUUUUUUGUUCAAGUUAAUCCCUAAACUUGACAAUUGUUCUCACAUUGAGGUUUGAACUUUUUUUGGGUCCAAGUUAGACAUUGUAUGAUAAACCACUAAAAAAAUUUAAUCAAUAAAAAAUUAAUAUUUUCAAUGAUUAGUAUUUUACACAUGUUUGAUAAUUCAAAAUAAAAAAAUAAUCCAAUAGAAUUUUUUCUAUAAAAAAAGUGUCGAAAAUGAUGAGUAAAUAAAAGUUAAUUAUCGCUUAAUGGAGAAUAUUUUCAAUUAACUCAAUUUUAUUUUAUUUAUUUUAAUAUUAUGUUAUCCUAUAAAAACUAAAUGUUUAAAAAUAUAAAAAGACAAAAAUAUCUACAUAAUCUUAUAAGCUACCUAGUAGAUUAAAUAUUUUUUUAGUAAUUUCCUAAAUUGAGACAUGGUUGGUGGGUGACACCGACUCAGUAAAAAACUUAAUAAAUAACUAGAAAUUCUAACAUACACGUAUGCAUGUGAAUACCACAAAUUUCGAAUGCAGAUUGAGUCAGUGUCUAGUUAACUUAUGACAUCAACUCAGUUAAAAGCUUUAUUAAUAUUAACUAUAUAUACAACUGGUGGAGGUAAUAAAACGUGCGUAAUAAAAUAAAAAUGUAUAAAAAUAUCAAAAUAAAACUUUAGUUGAAUGGUAUAUUAAAAACUUUAAUAGUGCAAUUGGCAUGGGUUUAAUUCCUACCAUUCUUUAAAGUGACAAGACUAAAUUAACCUUGAAUAAUAUUACUUAUUUUAAUUACGUAAAGGCCUUCUCGUAAUUUCCUAAACAAGUUGGUGCCUGGUUGACUUGUGACACCAACUUAGUCAGUGCUUUAUUAAUACUAGAAAUUCUAUCACGUGCGUAUGCAUGUGAAAACCACAAAUUUAGAACACAAAUGUGUGUUAAAAAUAACAUACAAUAAAUAAUAAAAUGUAUAGGUUGACACUAAAUAAAAAUAAUAACAUGUAAAAUUUGAAGAUAUUAAAAUGAAAAUGAAUAGAUUAAAAUUGUUUAUCAUAAUAUUGUCAUCAAUCUUGAGUCAGUGCUGAGUUAAGUUAAGACACCAGUUCAAUAAAAUAUAUAUAAUUGAUUGGGGUAAGAGUGUGCAUAAUACAAAUUGAAAUGUACAAAAUAUUAAAAUAAUACUUUAAUUAAGUGAUAAAUUAAAAGUUUUUCUAAGUCAAUUCACCAGUUUUCAAUUCCCAUCAUAUGUAUUUUUAUUAUUAUUUUUAAAUAGAAAAAUUAAAUUAUCCUCAAAUAUAUAAAUUAUUUUACUUGCAGAAAAAUAUUUUCGUAUUAUUUCUAAUUUAGUUGGUACCACACUUAUCAAGUCAAUACAACACUUAAAAAAUAAUAUUGACUAUUUAUUCAAAAAAUAUUGACUAUUGAUAUAGAUAAAAUAAAUAUAAAUAAAAAAAAUCAAUAAAUGGGAAAAUUGCCAUAUGCAUCAAAUAAAUAAAAAGGUUUAAUUCAAAAUUAGUAUCUAAAACUAUGCCAAUUUUCUCAUUUUAAGUACCUAAAUUUUUCAGUAAAAAAUAUGCUUAAACUAUUAAAUUCGUUAUAUUUUAUCUAAAAAGUGUACGAUGCCAAUAAAAUUAAUCGUUUAAAUAUCAUUUUUGCCAAAAAAAAACUCUUAGACACCUAAGUGGUAAAUACGAUAUAGUUUGAGGGUUAAUUUUGUAUUUAAGCCAAGAAAAGAAAAGAAGAGGAUUUUACCUUGUCAUCUGCAAAUUUGAUCCAAAACAGAGCAACGGCUCUGUCAUAGGGAUCAGCCGGCAGCAAGGGAUUUUGCGGCCAAAUUUCAUCGAUAUAUCGAAGGAUGACGGUGGAUUCGCAGAUCGGUUUUCCGUCAUGAACGAGCACCGGGACUUUCUUAUGAAUUGGAUUAUAUUGAAGGAGCAAAGGACUCUUGUUGGAGAGAUCUUCUUCGAUGUAUUCGUAAGGUAUGCCUUUGAGUUUCAGAGCCCAAAUUACUCUGAAAACGUACGGACUAAGCCAAGCUCCGAACAGUUUCACAACCGCCAUGGUUGGGAGAUUAGUCGAUUUUCUGGUAGAUCCUGAGAGCGGUGAGUGUAAAUUUAUAAUAG